rnacentral:lncRNA from 1 species
AAAAUAAAAAAAAAUCUAAAAGAGGGAGGGACAAAUUUUUUCAAGAAAAAAGUUAGAGAAAGGGAUAAAAUAAAGUAGUGAGAAAAAAGAGACAAUAACUCAAUUGAGUCAGAAAAAGAGAAAAAUAUCAUUUUUUUAAAAAUAAUAAAUAAAUAGUUUUGAUUUUUUUCUUUACCAUUUAUAAGAAUCUCUCUUCUAUAUAUAUAUAUAUUGAAAAAUGGAAACAAAUUUGAGAAAGAAAAGUACAAUUCAUUAAAAAAAUGGAAAAAAGUAGGUGAAAUAAACAUAAUUUUUUUAAAUAUAAAAUAAAAAAGUUUUAAGAAGAAAAGUUUUCACAAACAUCCAUCAAACAGAAAAAAAAAAAAAGAACAAUUUAGAAUUCAGCACUAAAAUGAUGGAGAUUAGAAGUUUCCAAAAUGAUUUUUUUUUUAAUUAUUGAUAAUCAUUACAAAUUUAGGAAGAAAGUAAUAUAAAAAGUGUUCAAAGUAAUUAUGGUCAAUCAAUAAUCAAAAUAUUAAAUGAAGUGUAUAGCUAAACCAACCUUCCUGGCUUGAUGAUUCCACUAACAUCAUGAAGAAUGGAUAAUUGCUUCUUCCUAUUUGGAAUUAUGUGAAAGUAACUCAAGAACCCCUUUUAACGACAAAUAGAAAAUAUAUUAGAUUCUUUUACAAAAAUAAAGUUUGAAUUUCUCCAACUUCGGCUUAAAAAAGUGAUUAUCAAACAGUUAAAAUCACUUUUAUAUUCACUCUAAAAUAUGUUUUUUUCUUCUUUUAAUUACCUCAAGCAUAUUGAGAGAAAAGUUAAACAUAGUUGGCAAAGCUCUGCCAGCGGUAUGGGCCUCAGCUUCAACUUCCAAAUGCUCAAACCUCACUUCAAUGGCAGGAAGAUCAAGCCCAACUCUAUAUAUAAAUGGGAAAGGAAAGAAAUGAAAAAUGUUCAAAUGUUACUGCUUCAUGUACUUAUAGACGGACAAUUGAAGAAACUUGAAGGUAGUGAAGAAAAAGGUAUUUUUUGUACCUUUCCAUUCUAUUCUUUAACUUAAGCAAGAAUCUUUCGUUAUCAUCUUCAGCGAUCUUGACAAGUCUCUCCAGUAUAUUUCUCCUCUCCAACAAACCAAGAUUUUGAACAUCAAUUUCUCUAGCAGAUUCACCAUCAAGAUUCAAAAUCCCUCUCCUAACACGUAAAUAAGUAGGAAGCCUUUCAAUGGAAGCCCAUUUGAGAGCUUCUUCAUCGUCGUCGUCACGAGAAGAUCUCGAGAAGACUUCCAUGGCGCUGUUUCUCCAUAUACUUGAGCUGUUAAUACGAGCACUGCUCACUCUGUAGAUCUCUCCACUGUCCAUAGUUUCUUCAAGGAGACUAUGUUUCUUUUCUUUUUUCUUACUUUUAAAGGAUCAUUAGAAAAAGAGAGGAUAUUGAUGGACAAACUUGAAACUCUUGGGGUGAGAUUGUUUGUUUGGGAUUGAAAGAAGGGGGAAAAUGGAGAAAGAAAAGAUUGAGAGAAAGGUGAAGAUGGGUCUGGUGUACUUAUAGUUGUUGAAGAACAGAGGAUGAAAAAGAUUGACUUUUUUCAAUUUUUUAAAAGAAAUUUAUAUAUAUUUUUGGUUGGUGUUGAUGUAAUGUCAGAUGUCAGAUGGGAGAAACAUGGAAACUGCUCAUAAUCUUGAAUUUGUAUUGAGAGAGAGAGAGAGAGAUAGAUGUGGAAAAGGAAGGAAAGAUACUAAAUAAAGUCCAUAUUGGGUGGCAUGACCAACAUUUGUACAUCCCCAGCUUAAAGAACUUGCUUUUCCCCCAAGUCUUUUCUAGAAGAAAUAUUGGUGUAGGCUAAAAGGGCAAAAAAAUCACAAAAACAAGAGUUACAACAUUGACAAGAUUCACAUAUUCUUCCGGUUUAGUUUAUACAAUAAAAAAUGUUUAAAUUAAAUAGUUUGUAGAGUUAUUGUUUACAUAAACCAACCUAAGUUUGUUAUAAUAGAGUUUCUUGUUGGUAUAGAUACUAACUUCACACUCUCCUUUUAAACAUAAAGUGUUAUAUGCCUUGUAGAUUUCGUUUGGUUCGUCUCCAAACCACAUUUUAUUAGGAAAUGUUUUGCUAAGGUUUUAGAAGCUUGAUUUGAAACUUGAUGACUCUAACAUUUUCCUACAUCUCUUGUGACUUUACUAUAUCAUCUUUGUUUGUCUUGAACUAAUAUUAGGUCUUUCAAAGUGUCUUACCUUCACCUACAUGUUUCUUAGAAAAAAUUGCAUGUCGCUUAACAUAAUAUUACUCUAAGCUAAACAUUUUUAACUUUGAAAGAAAAUUGUAAUUUGCCAUUCCAGUUCUUCUAAGUCGUCUUUCUUAAUUACCAUAUUUUCAUAUCCUUAAGAUCCUUCUCAUUAGAAUGUCAUCUCAGCUCAUUUAUGUCUCUCUUCUAAACCUCAGGAGUUACAUAAGUAUAUGGUUAACUUUGAAGUUUCUACAAUUGAGUCACUGAUAAGAAAGUAUACUUUGUUUGUAAGGUUGUACUUUUUGGUUCUUUUAAGUUUAAAUUAACCAUAUUUUCAUAAACGUCUCAAGAUCUCACCCAUUCAAAUUUAAAAUAUAAUCUUAAUUUAUUUAUAUACCCGUUGUAAACUUGAGAAAUACACACCUAUGCUUUGUUUUGUUCACUUUUAGUCAACGUAUUUUCAAUAAAUUUUAAACUUGGUCUCUCAAAGUUAUUUUUCUUUUCACCAAGACUAGUUAAAAAAAAUAACAAUUAUUUCCCUUAGAACUAAAAGAUACAAACCUAUUUUAAAACCUAGGGUAAAAAUGUUAAUCGAUAGCCAUAUUUUUUAUUUAAAAAAAUCAACAAUAACUCGCGAUGAUAUUACGUUUAAUCAAUGACGGAUCUAGAAAUUUUAUACAGGGAACACCAUACACUAUAAUAAACACACUAAAAAAUGUUUAAAAAAAUAUUUCGAUGUUUCACUAAUACUCCAAUAAUAUUCACUAAAUUUGUAGUAAUAAAGAAAAGACUAGCAAUUUCCACCUGACUUUUUGUAAUAUAAAUGUGAAUUUAAAAAUUGCAUAAAAUAAAGAGAGAAAAAAAAAAGAAUAGUACAUUUUUCAUGGAAUACUGUUGAGGGUGAAAAUUAAAAAAAAAAAAAAAUCAUAAAAGUAGUUAAUCAAACUCUUAACCGAGUGUUUUGUAGUGAGGAUACAAUCACUACAUAACAAGAAUUCAGACAAAAUAAAAUAUUAUUUAAUAUAUAUUGUAAUAUAAUACUUUAGUCUUCAAAAUUAAUAUUAAAAUACAAAAAAAAACUGAUAAUGUGAGGGGCACGUGUCCCUGAACCCUUGUCAUGCGUUUAAUUAGAAUUUAUGAAAACGACGAUAACUAAAAUUAAUUUAGUUAAGAGGCCUACAUCAAAACUCAAAUCGAAAAGAAAAAACAUAAUAUAUAUGAAUUUUAACCUAGGAAGAUAUAAUUCCAUUUGCUCAUUUCUUUUUGUUUAUAAUUACUACUUUAAUUUUUAAUCAAAAUAAAUAAGCAUGUUUGAUAAUCGAUUUUAGGUUAAAAUUGUAAAUUUUAGGUUAAAAUUGUAAAAAAAAUAUACAUUGAAUAUAACUUUUGGAACAAAAUAACCAACAUUGCUUAUGCUAUAUAUUAUGUUUUAAAUAUUUAUUAUCCCUUUUAUAAGUGAAAAUGAUAAAACAAUAUUUUCUAUAUAUUUGUGUUUUAGAAAAAAUUCAAAAAAUGGAAACUACAAGAAACAAUAAAAAUUACUUGUCACAUUUUUAAAUAUUUACACAAUAUUUUAAACAUUUAAUUUAUAAAAUGAAGAAACUACGACCACAUGGAAAUGAGUUAAUUAAACACUUUUACUUGAAGAACAUUAUCAAACGAAUACCAAUAAGUGAUUUCUUAUACUUUCUUUCUUUCUUUCUUGUGCUAAUCUUUUUUUUUUUAAAAUUUUUCUUCCUCUUUCGGUUAGGUUAUCUUAUUUAUUAAGCAAUAGAGAAUCAUUAUUUGCAUGUGAAACAAUAAGUGAUUCUUAAUGAAUUUUGCUUCUUGAUCUUCUCUUUAUAUUAUUAAAAAUAUAUAUUACUUUUAUAUAGUUUGGACAGCCAAAUAUAGAUGUCAUUUAUCUAAAUAUAUUAUUUAAGUUGACAUUGUUAGUAAUAGUCACUAUUAAUUUAUCAUCUUUUCUAAAAUUCACCCCUCCAUUCAUAAACAAAUAAACAUGCAAUUGUGUUAUUAUUAUUAUUGUUAUUGUUAUUUAUAUAUACACAAUAUCAUUUGGAGAUUUGAAAAUUGUUAGAUGUCAAUGGCAAAGAAAGUUAGGCAGGAAUUCACUUGACUAUUUAUUUAUUUAUGAACUUAAUUUUGAAAAUUUUAAGUUUAAAUUAUAAUUUUAAGUUAUGUUGACCAUUCUCUAUAUAUAAAUAUUUAUAUAUUUAUUUGAAAAAAAAAUGUUAUUUUAGUUCAACAAUAAUUGUAAAUUGAGGGAUGAAAUUAUCAAUGUUUAAAACAGUAUAAUUUUCUUUGUUACUUCUAAAAUUGAAAUAGUAAAUUGUAUCUUAUUGACCAUUAGGUUAAUUUGAAUGGGAGAUUACAAAAGUAAUUAAGUAAAUAGAUAAUUACAAGCUUUACAAAAUAAUAUUAAUUUGAGUAAUGGUAUCAUAUUGAGUUGGCAAUCUUAUAUUCAAUUGAUUUUGACAUUUUAUUCCGAUUAUGCCCUUAUUAUAUGCACCCUCUUUGUGAUGUGAAGGAACUUAUUUUUUUAUUUUCAUUUUUAAGGCAACCACUUACAAUUCACGUUUAUAUAUUCUUUCCAUGUGUUUAAAUAUAUAUUUUGAAAUCUUAACCAAUAUUUGAAGGGAAAUAAGGGGUAUAAAUAAAUAUUUGUUUGUAAAAACGAGGUCCAAUAGAGAUAUGAAUAUCGAGAAAAUAUAUUAUUAAAAUAAAAUAAAUAAGAAAAUAACAAAUUAUAAAAAAAGAAAAAUUCUUCUAUCACUUAAGACAUAUUUGGAGAGGUAGGAGUGGAGUGAACUAUAAUAGUCUACUCCUUGUUUGGGGUAUAAACUGGAGUCUAUCGAUUGUUUUCUUUGUAUCUAUAAAUGCAUAUUUUAGUUGAUUUGAUAUAUUUUGGAGAUGAAUUGUUUUCUAAACUUCAAAUUCACAUUGAUCUAUACGAGAAUCGAUAUAAAUAAGACAAUAAUGAUGCAUUCUAUGUAAUUUCAUUUUCCAACUUCUGAAUUCCUUCACUUAAUUGUUGAAAUUUUUUGUCUUAUUUAAAUGACAAUCAACAAAUUAGGUAGUAAGUGCAUCACCCAUUAAGGGUUCAAGAUAUUUAAUGAUUGACGGAGAUUCAAAAUCCAACAUAUAUUCUUAGCCUCCUUUGAUCAGGUGUUAUUUUAGUAUGUUGUGGUGGAGCAAUUAAAACUUAUACUAUACAUAAAAAAAAUUCUUACACGACAUACACUUGGCUCAUGGACAAAAGCUAAUGGUAAUGGUUAGUACUUGUGAUAAGCUUCCGGCCUAAUACACACAAGUGAUGUAGUAUGCAAAAUAGCAUGUCUCCAUACAAAUGUAGGAAGCUUAUCUCUCACAUGAUCAAUGGUCAAGCAAUUAAAUUGUGAACGUCUUAAUUAGAAAUAAUUUUGCUAAACCAUUUGUGUAUGAACAUGAGUUACAUGAUGUUAAACACUUAUCCCAAUUAACAUACAAUAAUUAUCAAAAGCUUAAGAUGUAAAUUCAUCAGCACUAUCAAGACAAAUCAAAUUAAUUUUAUAAGUAAAAAAACUGAUGAGCUUUUUACUUGAUUAUUUGAGCAAGUAAUUUUGCGUUUUGAUUUGAUAGUAAGUACAUGUGUGACUACCUACUGGAUGCGUCUAUUAAUAGCAUGGAAUUUUUAAAUGUUCCACUUGAUGGGUUAUUAGGUCCACAUAUAUAUCACCAUGAAUUCGUUCUAAAGAUGUAGGUGAUUUAGUCAUGUUAGACCUUGAUCGACUUCUAUGCUAUGGGAUAAGACUGUAUGCGGCGUAAGUAUUGUCAAGAUUGAAAGGCUUCUCACUACUUGAUGUGUUGAUGCAUUUCAAACAAGCUUUGAGGAAGUUCUUAUUACAUUCUAACCUAGAUGUUGCAAAAAAGGUUUUGAUGCAUUUUAACUAAGGCGAGUGUGAGUCAAGCGAGGGAAGAAAGUUGAAUAGUUGUGAUGACUAACUUUCUCUUGAUUAGUCAGCAGGGUACGUGUCAAGUUAAACAUUAAGGAUAAUUAAAUGAAAUAUUACUAAGUUGGUGUUGACCUGCGAGUUAAGAUGAGUUUAAGAAUGACUAAUUCUGUUUAUUAUUAAUAUAAAUAGUUCUUGUGAGUUCAAAAGAAAAUUACAAAUAACAUCUGAAAAGUGCUAAAGCUCUAUCGAGGGAAAGUCUAGGUGAGAAGAGAAGAUAUUACUAAAUUCUCUUUGUUAUUUCCAUAUUUAACCAUUACUAUGUUUUGAUUCAAGUUUUAACCUUUUAAAUUAUAAUAAAGAUAUAGGGUUGGGCAUUUGAUCAAUCAAUUUAUAAUUGUGAGUCUAAUGUUGUGUUAAAUAGUGAUAAGAAAUGAACUAAAGAAAAAAACUAGAAAGAGUCGCUUUCUAAAAGAGAUAGAGACUCAUUUUGUUAUUUCUUUAACAAAAACAAUGGAACUAAAUAGGAUCAAAAUGAACAAUUUUAUAAAAAUACAUAUGAUACUUAAUCUGAAUUUAUAAACUUAAUAAUAACUAAUAUAUGUUCAUUUUGUCCGGUCAAAAUUUUGAAUCAAGUUCAUUCUCAGGAGAUCAAAGGUUUGGAUCGUUAUACUUUCACUAGUCAUAGGUAGAAAAAUAUACUAUUUAAAUCAAAGUGUUGUUUGAGACAUUGAGUUCGCUUAAUAUAGUUAGUGGCCAUUGUAGUUUGUGAGUUUUAAUAUAGUUUGUGUUUGAGUCUUAGUUUAGAUAAACAAUAAUAAACAUUGUAACAAGAAGAAUGAUAGAAAUAACAAACACUGUAGCAAAGAAAAUUUUCAAAUAGUAUUAAUAUAUUUAAUUGAAGAUUAUAAAUAAUUGUAAUGUUCUAUAAGGUCCAAAAUCCAGGUCAGGACAUAAAAUUCGGAUUUGACAUUUGAUGGUUUUGGUAUUCUCAUGCAUUCCUUGUGACCUCAACAUCAUUCUUACUUGUCUUGAAUGCUUAUAAGAGUGAAAAUUAUCCUCACAAACCAACAAGAGUUCUUUCAUCAUGAGUACUUUUAAUUUGUUUUCACUUAUCAUAUGCUUCCUAGAAAAAUUCUCAUGAGAACAUCCAACACAACACAACUCUAAGCUAAGUAUAUUUAACUUUAGUGUUUCUAUGAUUGAGUCGUUAGAAAUGAAAGUGCGCUUUAAUUUAUUGGCAUAUAAGUCAUUUCUUUUUAAGUCUUCACCAUGCUUUCAUAUUCUUAAGAUCUCUCUCGUUUGGAUGUGUGUUCUUAUAAGUUCAUUCAUAUUCCCAUGCUAAACUCAUGGUAUUAUACUCUAACCAGCUUCCCGCUUAAUUCGUCCCCGAACCACAUUUUACUAGGAGAUAUUCUCUAGUAUACCAUUUUGUAAUGUCUUAGAUCUAAGAUGCAGACAAAGAUUUGAAAUCUAGAUUCAACAAUUGAUGAUCUCAACAUUCUCCUUCAUAUCAUGCCACCUUGCAAUGUCGUUCUUGUUUGUGUUAAUACUUCUACUCAAUGUCAUGUUUCUAAGAAGUUUUGGAUGUAUAUAUAAAAAAAAAACAGUAGAGUUUAAUAAUUUUAAAUUUGAAAGCGUUUUUAUUUAUUUGUUUAUUUUAUUUAUAUCAACAUUCUAUAGGUCCCAAACUAAACUUUAUUACAAAUCUUUAACAUUAUUUUAAAAAGAUAAAUUGCAUUAGAUGACAAAUUUUUUAUAUAAAAAAACAGUUAAUAACAUAUUUUGUUGCAUAUUGUAAAUUUGACAAAUAUGACUAGUAAUUAAUGGUAAUCAAACGAUAAUCUUGUCGCGACGUGAUCGCUACGCGGAGCGGCCGACCUCCCCGUUUAUUUAAUUUUAAUAAAUAGUUUUGGAGUCGCCACCAACCAUAUUAGGGUGUGAUUGGUCACCCAAAAAAAGAAAAAAAAAUGGUCUGCGUACAUUCAGAGAUUUAAAUUCGGGAGUCAAUUGUGUGUAGGGAAGGUGUUAGCACCCUACAACACCCAAAAAAUGGUUACCCAAUUUUAUCUUUUAAAUCAAAUUAGAGAGAUUCACAAAACAAAGUUUUUAUUUAGGUUUUGUUUAAAUGUCCCAUGUUUAUCAAUUCAUAUGGAAGAAAGUAAAACCUAAGCAUGAAUUGAUGAUUAUGGGUGGCAUAGGAGCCAUUAGAAAAAUUAAGUUUAUUUUUGUUUUAAAAGAUUUUUAUUCACCUUAAGAAUAUUAAAAUACCAAAACGUGAUAUUUUAAUCUCUAUCAUAGGUGUUUAAUGAGAAAUUUCAUGUAUUUAGAAUGAAAACACUACUCAGUCUCAUUUAAAAUAUGAAAUAUGUUUAUUUAAAAACAAUCUAUUAAAUAAAUUUCAAACGAAAAAAAUUCAUAUAUUCAUGGAAUUUAAAUUAUAAAAUCCAUAUAAAACAAUACUUUUCUCCAAUUUACAUUUUUAUAUUUCAAUUGGAAAAUAAAUAAUAACAAUGAGCAAAACAUUAUGAAAUUUGAAAAAUACUUAAAGGGUAAUAUGUUGAGAUAAAAUAAAUGCAUAAAACAAAUACAUGAUAAUGUAAGCAAUAUGCAAAUUGUACAAGAUGAUUAAUUAAUACAGCACAAGUAAGAUAAUUAAUUAAUUCAGAAUGAUGCAAAAUAAUUAAUUAAUUCAAAAGGAUACAAAAUAAUUAAUUCAUGCAGAAAGGUGAAAAAUAAUUAAUUAAUGCAGAAACAGAAAUAAGCAAAAUUAUUAAUUAAUUCAGAAAUAUGAAAAAUAAUUAAUUAAUUCAGAAAUAUACAAAAUAAUUAAUUAAUUCAGAAAUAUGCCAGAUAAUUAAUUAAUUAAGAAAUAUGCAAGAUAAUUAAUUAAUUAAGAAAUAUGCAAGAUAAUUAAUUAAUUAAAAAAUAUGCAAAAUAGUUAAACGAGGAUGUCAAAUGGGUGAAAUAAUAAUUAACUGCAGAAUGCCAAAGUAGGAUUAAUGCAAGAUGUCAAUAAAUAAUCACAGUAGCCAAUGGAUGUCAAAUAAUUUUAGCAAUAUGCAUGCUGAUUAAUUAAUUAAUACAUAAUACAAAUAAUUCGAAUGAGUAAUUGACAUAAGAGGUCAAAUGAGUGCCAAAAUAAUUAACGAUAUGCAAAUAAUUAACUCACAAUGGAGAAUGCCAAAAAUUAAAAGUGUCAAAUACAUUGUGCUAAUUAAUUAACAAUACAUAAUUAAGAGAGCUUGUCAAAUGAAUAGUUAUUUUCAAAUGCAUAAUUAACACAUAUGCCAAAUGGAUAAUUAUUAAAGCAAUAUACCAAAUGGAUACACACAAUUAACACAGAAUGUAAAAUGAGUGCCUAGAUAAUUAAAAAUAUAGCAAAUAAUUAAAUCAGUAUGUCAAAUAGAUGUCAAAUAAGUGUUAAAUAAUUAAGACAUCAAUCAAAUAAUUAACACAUCAUUUAAUUAAUUAACCAAAUGAAAUAAUUAACAUAGCACCCAAAUGGAUGUCAAAUAAUUAAUCCAGAACACAUUGAUUAAUUAAGGCAGUAGCCAAAUAGAUGCAAAACAACUAAUUAAUCAACCCAACAAUCAAAUAGUCAAAUGGGUGUCAAAUUAAUUAGCAUGAGAACUCAGUAAUCAAAAUACUCCAAUGGCCAAAUUGAUGUCAAAUAAUUAACGAGGAUGCAGAAAAUUAACACAGAACAAAUAAUUAACAUAGCAUUGCCAGUAUGCUAAUUAAUUAAUCAAAUAAUUAAUGCCAAAUCAAAUAAUUAACUCACAACAUUCAAAUGAGUGUCAAAUAAUUAAACGGAUGCGAAACUCAACCAUCAAAAUAGUCAAAUAGCCAAAUAUGGCAGAAAUAAGUGUAAUCAGAUGCAAAUCACUAAUUAAUUAGGGCAGCAAUCAAAGAGUCAAAUGGGUGCCGAAUGAUUCAAAUGAUGCAAAUAAUUAAAAGAUGUGAAAUGAGUGUCAAAUGAUUAACACAUCAGCUAAUUAAUGAGUGAUUUAAAUGAAUAAUUAAGACAGCACCCAAAUGGGUGCCAAAUAAUUAAGCCAGUAUCAUCAAACAUGAAUAACAAAAAAAGAGAACUUACAAGGUCUGCGUUAAAUGCAAAAUGUUUUGAGUUGAUCCUCUUCACCUUUUUCCAAAAAAUUUCUUUUACGUGCCUCUCUUCUCUAUCAAAAAAUUCUCCAGCAAAAAAAAAUUCUCCCCCCCCCCCUAAUUGAAUAUUCUCAUUCUCUUUUUAUAGGAAAAUGUCUCCUUUUUUCUGGAUAGAAGUGGAGUAGGUUUAGAUAGUGAAAUGGAGUACAUCAGAGAAAUGGGAAAAAUGUGAAAGAGUGGGAGAACGUGAGAGAUUGGGGAAGAAGGUGGAAGAGUGGGAGAACGUGAGAGAUUGACUCAGAAAAACAGAUAAUAGUUGAGAAAAAUAGGGGAAGAAAAAAAUCUUUACUUUUAAUUUUAAUUUUAAAUAUGUUUUUAUUUUUGUUUUUGUUUUAAAACAUAAAUUUAAAAAUUAAGAUUUAAAUUUUAGAAUUUAAAGUUAAACUCAAAUUCAAAUUCUUUUUAAAAAAUAAUAAAUAAAUUAAUGAAAAAAAUAAAAAGGCAGGACAAAAUACGGUAUCUACAAAUCUACUUUUAAAUUUAUCAUUUUUGCAAGUUAGAAAAUAUAGAUGAGAUAGAUUAUGUUAUCAUAAAUAUUUUUUUUCGUGCGGAACUCCCUUUUUAAAAAACUCAUAUCUAAUUUAAAGAGAAAAAAAACCAUUAAUUUGGAGUUUAAAUGGAAAACUUGUUUUAUUCAAAGUUGCAUGCAUGGUAUUAAUGAGCUUUUAAGGUAGAAAAUCUUAGCAUAAAGAGUUAUAACCGUGAGUGGACCAAUAAAAGUGAGGUUAGAGGUUGAAACAAACCCUAAACAUUAAAGAAGGGUGUGGUACAUUGAAUAUUGUAUUGUGUAGUGUAAUAAUAAAAGGAAGUGGUGACUAAGGUUGCGUGUGUGUGAAGAGAAAGGGGAUUAAGAUUUGGCAUUUAAUCACCUAAGACUUUUCACUAAACCCCACCAUUCAUCAAUAAAACUUUCUUUCUUAAUUGAAUUUCAUAUUAUUUAAUGAAUUCAUAAUAUUUUCUUUAAUUUAAAAUUUUGAAAAAGAUUUGGAACUGAUUUUGUGUCGUAAAAGCACCGAAUCUUUUGACGUUACCAAUUCUAGAAGCCUUCAAUGAGUUAAAUACUAAAUAACUCAUUUAUGCUCACGUUCUAAUAAUUGACGUCUUUGCUUACUUCACCUCUUUUUCUCUAUAUUAUAUAUUCUUUUCUGCCUCCACACGUGCCGUCCUCUCAUUGGAUCUUAUUUUUCUUCUUGCCUCUCCUAUCUUAUCUCCUCUCCUUCAACUUACCUAAACACAAUCUUAACUAAUCUUUUCCAUACCUUUAUUUCUUAAACAUCAUAUCAAUUAUGUAAUUUAUUUGAAAAUUACACGAUUAGUUUCUGUAUUAUUUAUUGUUUACUUUUUGUUUUUAUAGAAUUGGAAGUGGCAUGUAAGAUUGGUUGAAUUUCUUUUUUUUCUCUUUUAAUAAUAUGGUGGCUUAAAAGUGUUGUAGCAAAGUAUUAAUAGGGGGUUAGUAAACUAAAUAAUUAACAAUUAAUAGGAGAAAUUUCCCUUAAAAUAGGCAGGAGGAAUUUAAGAUUAUGAGGUUGAAAUUGACAGUUAAUGCUUUUUUUUUUAUCCUUUAAUAAUAACAAUAAUAAUUAAUAAUAUGUUAAUGAUUUUCUAUGUGUGUAGACAAAAUCGUAGAGGCUUCAAAUUUUUUAAAACUAUUGGUAAAAAUACAAAAAAUGCGGUUGUUCAUAUGGAUGGAUUUUUAAAAAUUUUAUAACGAAAGAAAAUUAAAUUAACGAGUAAAUAUUUUUGAAUAUUUUUUAAAUAUAAUAAUAACUGUUGUUGUUUAUGUUAAAAUCUCGAUUGGAAAAAAUGCAUCAAAUCUUACCUCCAUGUGACAACAAAGGCAAAUUUGUAAUUUGGAGAAGAACGUGUUGUGUAAGAUAAAAACAUUUGCACAUGACUGAUGCAAUGCUUGUCAAACAAGGUCCGACACGUCAAAAGGUUGCAAGUAAAGAGUUUGAGCAUUUGAAUGGACCUACUUUUUUAUUGGGGCUAACUUAAUGUAUUUAUAUGCAUGUAAUUGACGUAGACACUCUUUGUUCAGGAUUUUCAAGUUGCUUUAGAUUUAUCCUUUAACUUAUUAGGUUUGUUUAACCGUUGUUUAGAGUUAGUCCCGACUUGUGGAUCAGGUCGAACGCCUUAUUUUUACUAUAUUUUGGACCUACAAUUAUCUCUCUUUCGGGUUAAAGCAUGCGUAGGGGAUGGACCAUUUGAUUAUUCUCACACUAGCCUGGGUAGAGAUCCAAGUCAACCACUUUUCUUUGUCCAUCUUAAUCUUAGGUUUCUAGCUACUUUUGAGAAAUCAUGUUAUUUCAAUCUUCAUUAUAUUAUUUAUGUUCCCAUAAGAUGUCGUUUACGCUCUUACGUCCAAAAUCACUCACAUCAAUUAUAAUUUAUUUUUACAUUAAUAUUUUUUUAAAAAAAAUUCAUAUUUGAUAAGAUUUUCAAGGUAUAAUAUAUAUAUAGUAAAACAGAUCAACAUGUCGAACGAAAAUAUAAAUGCAAAUUAAAAAAAAAAUACCUUUAAAAAUAUGGUGGUAGUAAUGGCAAUUACACCCUUAAAUUUUCAAUUAUAAAAAUUUAGCUUUGAACUUUUAUUAAGUGUUAAAAUUGUCCAUCAAACUUACAAUAAUGAUAGAAAUUGGACUCACAAGUGAUGAAAAUUAUGAACCUCAAACUUAUACAAAUGUUACGAUAUAAUUCAUACAAAUAUAUAGGCUUAAAAUUUUUAUUUGUGUAAAUUUUUAUACUUGAUUUUGUUUUGUUUAGGUGAAAUAGAUACAAAAUUAAAAGUUUGUCUAACAAACAAAACUUAUCAAGUAACCUUUUAAUUUGAGAGGAGAAGUUCAAAUGUAUAUAUAUUUUUGUUACAAUAUUAUUUUUUUUACAAACAAAAAUUACAAUGUAAGUUAAUAUUAAGAAUUAAACAAUAUUUUGUAAUUCAAUAAUCAACAUCUCAAUCUUAAAAAAGAACUAAUGUGAAUUAUUGAAUUACAAUAUGUGAUAUUUUUAACACUAUGGUAAUAAUUAGGAAGAAGUUUUUCUCAAUAAAUGAUUCAACAUUUUGUAAUAAUUGUCAUUUUCUUUUCUUCUUCAACUAACAUCAUUAUAACUAAUAUAUACUAAUAAAAAAUUGAGUUUAAAAACAAUAUUUUUAAUAAUAAAUAAAGCAUCUCUAUCUACUUCUAUUAUUUAAAAGCCCGCUACAAACGACAUGAAUAAUUAUACGGUGAAAAAUUGAACCUCUAUACAAAAAUCACGACAAUACUAUUAAACUAAGCUCACUUUAACUGUGAACAUAUUUAAAAAAUUCAUAAAUUAUAUAGUACUAUUACCAACAUUAUAAGUCGUGAUUCUAUAUUUUACUUUAUACUAUUAGUAAAAGAAAAAAAUAAUAAAAUCAUCUUAUAUAACUUAAUUUGUACAUUAAAAAUAGAUUUCAAAAUUUGAGAAAGUAACUUUGCCUUGUUUUAAAAAAAGAAGUAGAAAUUAUAAUAAAAUUUUAACUAUGUUAUGAUUUGUCAUAAUGGAAAGAUGGAAUUUAAUUAGGAUGCAUUUCAUUUUAUUUUUUCUUUUUAAAUAUACAUAUUGAAUAUAGUUUUGAUGUCUAUAUAAUAUUCUUAUAGAGUUGAAUGAUGGCUUCCUCACGUUGUUUUGCAUGGAAAUUUUAUAAAAGCACUUUUUAAAUAACUUUAAAUGUCUAUUGUUUAUCUAACCACCUCCUUGCUUAUCUUUUUUGUAAUUUUAUGCACUUAUUAACAUGACUUAUAUUAAUAAUAGCAAUUUUAUUUUGUUUAAAUGGAGUUUUUAAUUUAUUUCAUUUAGUUUAUAAUUUUAUAAAGACAUUUGAUGUUUUCAUAUAUCAUAUCAACUUAGCUUAUUUAUAAAUAUAGAAAAGUUUUAUUUUAUAUUAUUCCAUUAAUUAAAUUUUUUAUUAUUAACAGAAGUUUAGUACAAUUGGCAUUUAAUGGUAUUGAUAACUAUAUGGUUUGUUCGAAUCUCUUACUCCAAACUUUCACUCUAAUAAGCCUCUAAGACAGUAGGGAUGGUGUGUUGUCAAGUCACAGUGGAUGUAGGGAAAUGUCGGAGAUCCGAAUUCCAAAUCUUAGACCAAAUUCUGGGUCUUGGGUAUUACAGGUGGUAUCAGAGAGAAACCUCUCUCAGUAAGUAGUUGUGGUUUGAGGACGAACUAAGCGAAAGUUGGUAGACAUAUAACGCCAACUAAGCAAAAGUUGGUAGACAUAUAACACCUGAGUUUAGGAAGGGGACAUGAAUGAACCGAUAUCACAUCUGAAUGAGAGGGAUUCUGAGGACAUGAAGUAAGGUUAAGAAAGGCUUAAAAGAAUUAAAAGUUACUAUCAUACCAACAAGGUGCAACUUUAUUUUUUUUAUGGCUCGAUUAUAGGCUCAAAACAAUUCUAUGUUGGGUGACUUCCUGAAAAUUUUCUUAUGAUACAUGUCAGUGAGGGCAAAGCAUGCCGAAAGCACUCAUGUUGGUUUGUGAGAACGACUUUCACUCUAAUAAGCCUUUAAGACAAGUAAGGAUGAUGUUACUAGGUCGUAGGGGAUGGAAGAGAAUGUCAAAAAUCUAAAUUUCGAAUCUUGGUCUGGUCUGGAUUUUGAGCCUAGGACGUCACAUGUCAGGUCACAAGAGAUGUAAGAAAAUGUUGGGAUCCAAAUUUGAAAUCUUGAACCUUGGAUGAUACAAAUUCAUUAUUUGAAUCAAAGUAGAAAAUAACUCAUAAGAGAAUUUAAAGUGCUUGACACUUAAAGAUAAUCGGUCUUAAAAUUGCCCUAAUUCAAAUAUUGAAAUUGGAAUGUGCAUGAAUUAUGUAGAGUACUUGAUUUUCACCACAGAAAUGAUCACUUGAUAUUAUUGAAAAGUUGAUGUGAUUGAAAUGCUUAUUAUAUCGAUCUAAUCUAAUAUGAACAAAGUAUCGGUAUGGAUAGACAUGGUGGAUUAUGUGAUCAACAAAUUUUUAACCUUUAUGGUAAAAAAUAAAGAAACAUUUAGAGUAUUGAAUUGAUUUUUAUAGUCAACGGUUAUAACAAUUGGUAAGUUAUGACAGUUUAUAUAAAUUAUAACAGUUUAGUACAUCCAAUGUACUUAAUCAUAGAUUAUAAAUAGUUGUGUAAACAUUAACCCACCCUACCAAACGACCCUAAUAAAGUAGGGUAGAAAAAGGAAACAGGAGUAGAAAAGUUGAUGUAUCCUUCCAUUUGGUGAUACCUUUUAAGGACUUUUGUCAAGAGUGAUUUUUGGAGUGCUGUUCUUUCUACUUAUUCUGUCCCAACAAGUGGGAUCUUUUUCUAAAAUGGUUUUAAUUUUUCUUUCUUCUCAGUAUGGAUCCUUUCGACCACCACCUAUCUAACUAUAAUACUAAACCAUCACUCAUUUGUUGGUUUCUUCUCAUCACUCACAUUAAAAAAAAUAUUAAAAUAGUUUUUUGAAAAGUAAAAAUACAUACAUGAUGAUGCUCGAGAUGCACCCGGAUAUUUUUCAUCAUAAAAUUCUACUUCAUGAGUGGAAGAUUGGAUAACUGUUCUAAAACAUAAAAUCUCAAAAUUGCAUCUCUCCACUGCUUUUGGUUUCAUAAUCUAAUAUAAUCAAUUACAAAAAUUAUGUAUAAAUAUCUCACACUUGACCUCAGCUGAAUAUUUAAAUAUACUAUACAAUACACUUAGGUCCAAACCUUAAUUAUGUCAUAAUAUAAUUAACAAUCUUAUUAUAAAAAUGAAAUAAUAUGUGCAUUAAAGGUUAAAAAAAUUAACAAUAUUGUAUAGUUUAUGUGAGCUUGACAUUUUCAAUUCAUUCACGAAUCAGAAUUCAAGGGCGGCUAACAAAAGGUACAUUAUUCCUACAUUUUUAUUAUAUAAUAUGGUUGUUGAUGUGGGGAAAGUGAUUAAAAUAAUUUUUCUACAAAUUAUAUAAACCAUAUUCUAUCAUUAUAUUCUCAAAGUUAGGGUUUUGUUUGUUUAGGGUUUAAUUUACAUAUUUAUCUUAUAAUAUAUAUAUAAAAAAAUUAAACCCUUUUCGUAUAAUUUUUUUUUAAAGAAGUGCUUUCAUUGAAUACAUAUCUUACUUCAUUUUCUAAAGUGUUUUAAAUGGUAAACCUUUUUAGUGGAAUAGCCUUAAUUAAAAGUUCUAAUUUAAAAAAGUUUUGAAUGGGUAAAACAAAAUACAAUUUGACCUAAAAGUGUUGAAAUAGUUAUUUUUAGAUGGAAAAUUAAUAUAGCAAAAACUUAUAAGUAAGAUUAUGCACCAAAAAGAAAUAUAUAUUAUAUAUAUAUAUAAUGCUCAAACUUUUUGUUUUUUCAAAAUUAUUCAUAGGAAAAAGUGAUUAUAAGUAGCAAUCAAGAUUAAUUUUAAUUGAAACAUAUGAUUGAGUAGGUUGAACUAAAUUAGUUAUUUAUGGAAACACUAUUUUAAGCAUAUAUUUAUGAAACAUUUGGAGAACAUAUAUGUACCAAACUCCAUAGAAGAUGUGAAGUGGAACACACUCAUAAUUGCCAAAGAGGGACCAAAGUUAGUAGUGAAAAAAGGUGCUUUUUCUUUUUCUUUUUCUUAAUUAGUAAUAAUUGGAGAUCAAAAGCACUUUGGUUUGGAGUUUUGUGCCCCAUUUUUGGAUUAAAAGUUGGAAGUGGUUGGAAUGUUCAUCCUUCUUGAGAUAGAAACUUGAGAUGAUAGCACUAAAAAAUAUGCUAUAAUACAUCAAAUUAAACAAUUCUCUCACACGAGUUUAUAAUUCAUUAUAAAAGAAACACCAGAGUUUUAAAUAGAGAUUAAUUGUUUCAUGGUUCAAUCUUAUACAAACUCUUUAAUUAACAUAAUAUUUCUACUUAUAUUUCUUCACAUGAACGAUUUAGAUUACAUUGUCGAUAAUAUUUAUAAAAUUGGUUGUAUAGGAAAGUUAUUAACUAUACAUCGUUCAAUUUUCAUACAUAUAAUUCUGAUUUUUUUUUCUUUUUCGAUAUGGUUAUGCCAAUUGAACACAUAAUAUAAAACAACAAAUUAUUUACUAACUACAAAUUUGGGGCAUAAAAAACUAACAACUAGAACUAACCACUCCAUAGUAGAGCUAGAGAGUUUGUUUAGAUUGAUUAGUGAUAAUUAGUGAUUUUUUUUUUUAUUGAAAUUCUUUUAAUAGAUUUUGUUUAAAAUACACUUUAAAAAGUAUUUUUGAAGCAUUAACAAACACUUUUGAAAGCAGUUGAGAAGUUAAAAGUUAAAGUACUAAACAUAAUCUCUUUUUAUAACCUUUUAAAUAAAGCAAAAGCAAUAUAUUUCAUGUAUCAACUUUCUUGGAUACUCUUCCAAUCCCACUUUGACAUCAAAAUCUCUUGGUUUUUUAUCAAAUAUUUUUUCGUAUCUUAUUUAAAUAUGCAUGCAGUACUACUUAUGCCUAUAUAUUGUUAAUUUAGUUGGUGGUGUAUAUAUAUAUAUAUACUAUAUCAAGUAGUAAGAGUGAGGUAUGCAUAAAACAAUUACAUUACCAAAUGAAUAUGAAGACGAAAGUCGACAGCUGAUCUACUUUAUUUUCUAUGCUAUAUUUCAAAAGUGAUUAUAUCAAUGUUUCACGAUUGGUUAUCGUUUAUACAACUACAUAAAUUAAACUUAAUUGAGAUUAUUAAUCUCUAAAUGGAAAAAUUAACCUUUUUUUUUUUCUCCAUUCAUCUUUGGGUUUAACUUUUAUAUAUAUAGAUUCCAAAAUCUAAAAAACUUAUGUUAUUAUAUUAAGGUGUUUUAUCCAUCAAUUUGAAUUUCGUAAGACGGUAUUAAAGAACUUGAGUUUACCAACUUCACAUCAAUAUUUAUUAUAUAUGGAUGUUUUUGCACUUAAUGAGUAAUUUUAUCUACUAUCUUCCUCUCUCUAAUGUUUUAAAGGACGUCAUAUGUCAGUUAGUAUCAACAACCAUCUUUAAUGUCCAACUCCAACAAUAACCAUUGUCGUGCAACUAAUAGUGCCUUAGUUACAUGCUAAGAUGACAACCACCUAAUCUCCCAACUACCUUUGGUGAAUACCACUUUUGACAAUUAUCUCCGACUUACAACAUUAUGUGACUAACAUCUUUGAUGAACAACUUUGGCAAUCACAAUUGGUGAUCAACUCCAUCAAUCAUCUCCAACGACUAAUUCUACUGCUAAACUCAAACGAUGAUACAUUAAAAAAAUUUAGCCAGUGAAGUAUUUCAAAUACAAAAUUGAAAUUAUUAGUUUUUUUUAAUAGUCAUCUUAGGCUAAUAGAAGCACUUAUUUAUCUAACCAAGCUAAACAAACUCGUGUAUAUAAAUGUUUUAAUUUUUAGAAAGUGUAACUAAUUUUAUACCAUGGUAGAAUUGUCUUCUUGUCACGUUUAGAUUUAGGUUUAAGUCCCAUUCUUUAUACUUUUAUAAGAUUAUUUUUACUAAAUUAUAUAACUCGAUGUCACAACCCACUCCUUACAAUUGUACGUAGAAAUUUUGUUGAACUUUUCAAAUAAAGGAGUAUGGAAUAAUGAUGAAAAGUGAGAGAAGAUUGUAAUGUUAGAAGAAAUACCAAAAAGAAAAAGGGAGUUGUCCACAAUCAAACUUUUCCCACUCCAUACUUUAUUUUGUAAAGAAAAGUUUGAAAGGCAUUCGUAAGCAACUCUUAAGAAAAGGUACAAACUUUGAACAUAAAUUGAUGGAAAAGGCCAAAGGGUAUAUAAUGGAGAAGACCUUUGACCAACCCCAUACCAUUUUGCCUCACUACAAAAAUAAGCCUCCAUAAUUGGCCAUACCCUAAACUCAAAUAAUUCAAACAAUAUAUAAUCAUUUCCAAACUUUCCUUCCCUACCUAUCAUUAUCCUCCUUUCUUCACUUUCUAUUUCUCAUCAUUCACACUAUUAAAAAGUUCCCACGUCCUCUCACCAAUUUAGAUGGUAUGAUGUAUGUAAUAAAAAUGAGAAAGAAAAAACACGUAUAAUCGAAGGAUUUGAACCAUAAACUUUGAGUUAAGUUCGAUAUGUCCAAAUGCUAGAAGUUAGGUAUAAUAUUUAUUUUGAGCAUUUUUCUAUCCAUAAUUAAUAGUAUUAAAUAUGAUCCAUGAUAACCUAACAUCAAUAUCACAUCUAAAUUAAGACUUUUUGGCAAAUGCAUUUUUCUUUUCACUUUUUUUAAAAAAGAAUAUAUACCUAAGGAUUUCAGUUUGGUGGUGAGUUUGUGUAAUAAUCAUAUACAUUUAAAAGUUAUUAAGUAUUUAGUUUGUAGAGUGUAGUAAUGAAUGAAUGAAUGAAUUAGGUGGAAAGACAAUAUAAAAGGAAAGGUCUUCUAGAAAGAGAGAAUUGCGAACUAAGACUAAAAAAGAAUAUAAAUUGGACGAUGUUCUAGAAAAUGAAAGCAAAUUGGUAGCGAUGGCUUCUUCUCUUAUUCAUUCAUUAUUCAAAAAGCCAUCCAUAUCUAAACACUUUUCUCACAAAUUAAUUAGCAUUUUUCUAAGUCUUUGAAUUCAUGCUAAUAAUUAACUUUCUUUUUAAUACGUUUAUAAACAGUAUAUAUAUGUCAAUUAUAAUAUCAUUAUUAAAUUGAUUCCACGAUUUCAUCAAUCAAUUUAAUUUCUCUCUUGCUUUUGUUCUCCUUCCAACUUUUGCUCUAUAAGUCAAAAUUAAACAAUGCUACAUACUUUACAACUUUAGUUUAUGAUUCAAAGAAUUUUAUAUUAAUUCUUUAUUAAGUUUAUGAAUUCAAUCUCGAUCCUACGUUUUUUUUCAUGCCCAAUCUUGUUUCUCGUUUAACCCUAAUCUCACUAUACUUUAUACCUUAUAAUCUCUCUCACCCAUUUGUUACUUUCCCAACCUAAUUAAGUUCUAAUUGAUUUUCGAUUUCAUUGAUGAAUAUUUCUUUCGCGCUCUUUGUUAUGUUCUCUCUUAUCCAUGCAUUUUCUCGCCCUCACACCAAUUUUAACUCUCAAGUUUAAGAUUAUACGGUUAUUUUAAAUGAGAACAUUGCUAAAAAUAUUUAUAUAUAUAGUUUAUUACGGAUAGACACUAAUAGUUUGAUAUAUUUAUAAAUAAGUUAGCUCAUUCUAUACUAAUUUAAAUUUAAUAUAGUUUAAUUCUAUUUUAGAUCAAUAAUAAAAUUAAGUUACUAAAUAGAAAAGAAAAAUGAAUGUGUAAAUUUGAUUGUGUAUUUAGCUCAUUUUCUUUACUUUGAUAUCGCAAUCUAAUUGACGGAUUAUAUUUUCAUGUGUUUAAUUUAGAAAAUAAGUUAUUUUGAAAAAAAUUAAAGUGUUUGAAAACUACACGAAAACAUAUUUUUUAAUGUAUUUUAAACAACUUUUAAAUAAAAAUAAAUUUCUCAAAAAAAUAUAUUUUUUUUCUUAAUUCGAUCCAAACUAAACUUCAAUUUGAAAUGGAUGAGUAUAUUUAUUUUUAAGAAAAUAGAAUUUGUAGAAAGUAGAAAAAGGAAAAAGGAAAAAGGAUGUUCUUACAAAAGGUUGGUAUUACUAUUUACUUGGGGUUUGAACUUCCAUUUUUUUUCCUUCAUCCAAAGUCUUUUCUUUUCCAAAUCAUUACAAUGACCAUAACCUUCAAUUUUGAAAGUUAGUUUCAAGUUGCUGUAUUUUCAAUUUAUAUAUUUUUUUAAAAAAAAUCAUUUAUGUAUCAAUUAUAAUAAUUUAUUCUGUCAUUCCCACGUUUGAAAAAGAUUAUAAACAUAUAAAAAUUGAUGCUGUAAUGAUUUUGAAAGGUAGUUUUAAUAAUAAACUGAAAUGGACUCAUUUUAAUGAGAGUUUAAUUAUAAAUCAUAUAUUAAAUGAAGAGUAUGAGACAUACAUUGAAUUAAAUAGGAAAGGAAAGGAAAGGAAAUGAAAAUGGAAAAAGAGACUCAUUUGAUUCACUUAUAAAUAUUUAAGAAUUUUACCCGAACAUUUAAUUAAUAUACUCUAAAAUUUAAAAGUUUAAAUAAUGAAAGUGUGCUAUGUAUUUUUUGUUGUAGUUGUAAAUAUACAAUCAAAUCGUAAAAUUAUUUAAACUUGACUCUUAAAUACUAUAAAUGAUAGAUCAUAUUGAUAGUAAGAUUAUAUUAUUAAUAGAAAUCUAUACUCUCGAUAAAUGUAAACUUAUAUCGAUAAACUUUACUCUUUUAACCCUCUUUUAAAAGGUUAGGUAAUAUCAUCUAAAGUAUCUUUUAAUUAAUUUUGUUUUUGAAAGAGUGAUCGGAGACGUUAAUUUAGUAGGAAUCGCUAUUGUAUUUACUUCUUGGUUGUGGGAAAAUUUGAAUAGAGUCAAUUUAUGGAUAUAUUUGGUAGUAUUCCCUCACAACACUGCUGCUUCUUUAAUCAACAUUGUGUGGUUAUGCAAUAUCUUUUCAACUAUACCAAAAUUAAUUUGCAACUACGUUUUUGGAAGGUAAAUAAAGUUCCACGUGUUAGCUACGGAUGAAAGUGAAUAUGACGAUAUAGAUAGGAUAAUUAAUUAUAGGGAGACUUUUUUUUCAUGGGUUAAAAAAUAAAUUAAGGAGAAUCUAUGUUCAAAGUAAACAAUGUCAUACCAUUUGGUAAAGAUAGGUGAAAGAUUUUAUUUAUUUAUUUAUUAGUUGUUCGUGAAGUUAUGUCUCUUUAAACCUAGUUGUAUAAGACCAAGUGUAAUUUAUAUUCGUACUCGUGUUCUAUAAUUUUGAUGUUGAGUACUAGAAAAUAUGAAUAUAUUGGAUCUACGUACCUUCUAAUUUAGGAGUAAGCUAAUACCGAUCAAAUGGUCAGAGUGCAUGGAUCAUGGUUUUAAAAGCAAAACCAUGAAAAAUUUAUGUCUGAAGUUAAACAUUAUUAAUUAUCAACUUUGAUCACAACCAUCUGAGGUGACCAAUUUCAAACAUCAAUUUUGUCAUUCAUCUGCAUCGGCUAACUCAAAACGGUAAACUUCAGCAAUCAUGUAUUAAAAGGAGAAAAACCUAGCUGACAAACUUUUUUAAAUAAUAAUUUUACAUCGAUGGAUUAUUGCUUGAGGACGAUUGGGUUAUCCUUAUAGACCUACGUAUCACAAACAUCCAUAAAACGUACUUGUUAUUGGCCUACCACAAUCUAAUAAGAGGAUUGAUUUACGUCUACUUAAAUAUGACAACGAGCUAGCUUGACUAUUAUGAUGAACAAUGUUUUUUUUUCUAUGCAUGAAAUUGACUUAUUGUUAUUCAUAUGUCUGUAUAAUUUUUAUUAAUGUGUAAAUAGACCAUUGAUGAUAUAAUUACCCGACCUUUUUUUAUUUUUUUCUUUUUUGCAUAUUCAACUCAUACGUUUCACGAAAACCAUUCAAAGUAUAUUUUGAUUAGUAUUUUGUCUGUACUUAAGUAUAAUUUUGUGCUAAAUUAUAAAUAUAUUUUUGUUUAUUGAAACAACAUCUCGUAAUGAUUUGAAAAAGUAUGUAAUUGAAAUAUAAUGGUGGAACAAAAAAGUUAAGCAAAAAAAGAAACAGAAACAAUAAUAAUAACUAAAGAGCAAUGAUCAGGUGAAAUCUUGUAUUUCCCACUUCUCUACCACACAAAAUUAAUAAUAAGAAGAAAUUACAUUAGACUACACGAGCUACACGAGCAAGGAAGGAAGCACCAAAUUUUGUCCAUAACAAAAAAAAUUGAUAGAAAAAUGCAUGAUUUUUUAUGUAGCAUAAAAUAUCCAUAGCUCCACUCAACUCAAACGCAUGCUUUCGUAAUUAAUCAACUCAACGGUUCAACUUUCCACAUCAAACACAAACAAUUACUAUAUUAUUAAAUAACUUUCAAAGAAAACAUAAAUUGUUUAAGAAUUUAAUCAAUAAAAUUAUAAGUCUUACACAAUAUUUAUCCAAAACAACUCCUAAUUGAUACGGUCUAAAAUUUCAAAGUUUAAAUUGGUAUUUUACCAAACAAAAAAAUAAAGUUCAUAUAACAAAAUAAUGAUGCGUUGUAUAUAGUUUUUUGGUAGUUGUAAAUAUACAUUCAAAUCCAAAGUAUUAGCAAAUAUAGCUAGCACAAUCCAACAUAAUUUGUAAAUAUAACAAAAUUAUUUAAAUUCAUCUCUUAAAUUUUAUGAGUGGGAGUCGACAUAGUUAAUAAAAAUCUAUAAGUGAUAAAUAUUAGAGGAUCACUAAUAAAAUCCUAUCAUCCAUACAAUACAUUACUAGGAGUUUAGAUACAAAAAUUACAUAAUAUGAUAUAAAAUAUAUACUUGUGUUGAAAGAUUCAUUGAACUAAUUAAUUAAUCACUAUUGUAUUUACUUCUAACUUGUGGGAAAGUUUUAAUUGAGCCAAUUUGUGAAUAUAUUUGGUAAUGUUCUUACUCAUUUGAGUGUUGCUUGUUUAAUGAACGUUGUAGUUAUGUAAUAUCUUUAUCAACUGGACCAAAAUUGCAACAUUUCACUUUCUAACUUCAUUGUGUAUUGAAAGGUAAAUAAAGUUCCACGUUAGCUAAGGAUGAUAAUGAAUAUGAGUAUAUAGAAGGGAUAUAAUUAGUGAUCUUCAUUAGUAUGAGGUUCUUUUUUUACCGUUUAAAAAGUAAAGUCAUGAGAAUGAGGAUAUAUCUUACAUGCUUAAAGUGGAUAAUAUCAUAUUGUUUUUGUACAUAUAAGUGAAAGUUAUUUAUUCUUAUCAAUUGGUAUAAAGUUUUGGAGUAAGCUAAUCUCUUGGUCUGGAGUGGGAUUAUAGUGAAGCUUAAGGUACUUCAUUCAGAGGCAGGCAGGAUUAGUAGAAAUGUUAAUAAAGUUAUAAAAACAAGUAUAACUUUAUAAUAACAACGUACGUGAGCCUCAACACAUGCUAGUCUUAUCGCGUCGCCUAGUUUUAACGUGAUAUGUCUUUCAAAACAUCUAUUACUAAAAUCCCUUCUUCUUCAAAAUAAUGUCUUCUUUGCAAGACACAAGUCUUACACAUCGGAUCCUACAACUCGGUUCUAAGUUCAGAGAAUAGCGAGUCAACACUAGUGGUGAUCCCAUUCGAGUUCGUGAAAAGAUAACAAGUAAUGAGGAGGUUGGAAGUAUGCUAACUUGUAAUUGCAUUUAGAAUUUCUAAUUUUUAGUUGGGUGGUGUUUAAGAAUUUCUAAUCCUUAUUGAAUUAAAAAGAAGUGGGUAGGUUUCAUCAGUAUAUGGUUGACACUAUUUAGGUUAAUUAAAAUAGAAGCUAUGAUGUAGAGGGGAAACACAAUGAUGCAACAUCUCUUUGUUGAGUACUUCAUUAAUGUCCACAGGACAAGAAUUGACUAAUUAAGUUAGGUUAACUAAAAGUACACAUAUAUAUAUUAUAUUAGAAAGUUAGUUAUUUGAAUACUAUGCAAGUAAUUAAAACUAUAAGUUUGGUUAAAUAUAUAUAUUUCAAAUAUAUUUAGAGGUUUACAAAUAUAUGGAAUGGAAAUGUCAAAUUGUGCAUUAAUAUAUGUAUAUAUAUAGAGAAUUAAAUGAGUGAUUUGUUUGAUAUAUAUAUUUGGUAAUUAGAUUUUUACAAAUUCACUUCCUAUGUUCAUUUCAAACUUACUAUAUGCCUAACAAAAUAGUUCUUUACACAAUUCUACAAAGCGUUUGUAGUCCAACGGUUAGGAUAAUUGCCUUCCAAGCAAUAGACCCGGGUUCGACUCCCGGCAAACGCAAUUGCAAUUUUUUUGGUUCUAUUUGUUUUAUGAAAUGAUAGUGUUAAGGGAUUUGAAUGUAUUGUAUGGAAUCCUAAAUUUAAAUGGGUUGAAUAAGUGAAGUAUAUUAGAUUUUACUGAUUAGGUGCAAAUACAAUAAAAGGACUAGAAAAGUAAUUGCCAACUAAGAAACUAACAAAGAAAAUUAGAGGAUCUUCUAGAAAAGUAAAAUAUAAUAAUAUAAUAUGAUGGAUGGCUUCUUAUUCAUUCAACAAAAGCCAUCUUAUUGACACUUUUCUCACGUCUUCCAAGUCUUUAUAUCUAUUCAUUUCUUUCUUCUUUUCAAAUAUCUAUCAUACUUUUGUUUCAACUUUAGUUUAACGUGGAGUUUAGAUAUUUGAAUCUUUAAUUUGAAAGAAACGAGUAAAUAUCAAUUAUCCAUUUUAUUGGACUUAAAACAGUUUGAAACUAACUUAAAUGUAAGGAAGAGGGAAAUUUUAUAUUGUAUAAUAAUAUUAAUAACAAGAAUGUAUUAAUAUAUUUAUUUGAUGUUUAGAGAAUUUCUAGAAAAAGAAAAGAAAAAUUAAUAGAAAGGAAGAAAAAAGGCUUCUACAAAAUUUAGAGACGUGGGUUUUCAAAUUCUUUGUUCAACAAGUCUUUUGUUUUCCAAUAAUGACCACCAACAUUUCAUUUUGAAAAUUAGUUGGAAGUAAGGGUUGUUCCAUCUCAUUUGCUAUAGAUUGUUCUUUGAUUGAUACACAGUUUAUGAAAUUGUAAAAGUUUAAUUGACAAAAUUGUAAGUCUCACCUAAUGUUUAUCAAAAGAAAAUGUUGAAAAAGAGAUAAUAUGUUAAUACACUUGCAAAAUUUCAAGAUUUUAUUGAUAUUCUUUCGAGGAAAAAAAUUCAUGGGUUCAAUGUAACCAUGCUACAAGCUGGACAAUGGUUGGUUUUACACUUGGAUUGAGCAUGUUUUGUAUAAAAAGAGUGAUGUGGCAUCUAUGUUUAUCUUUUUAAAUGAAUGAACUACAACAUUUGUUAAUGUGAAAACAUUGUAAUUUAAUGACAACACAAUCAAAUGGAGUGCACAAUGCCAUUAAUACUUGGACAAGCAAUUAGGGUAUAAAACGGAUUCCACAAAUACAAUCGAAAUAAAACAAAUUGGAAAAUUCCUAUUAGUGAAUAUAAACAAUAACUUGACAUGUUUUUACAACAUAGAAUUCUAAACUCGAUAAAACAAAUCAACCUAUUAAUAAAAAAAAAAAAAACUCUAGUAUAAAAAAUCAUUCAUUGCCAAAAGAAAAGCUCAACUUGAUGUAUUAUUGACAAAGAAAUAUAGUUCUAAUCUCCCUAUUGUACCCAAAAAAGUCACCAUUCUUCACAGAUCCACUUGCAAUUUUACAUGAGACAGCAACUCGACUUUCAGCCACUCAAAGCUUCCAAAACCAACCAUUAAUAAUUUAAACCUCCAGAUUUAGCAUUUAGGUGAAAGGCAGUAAGAUUGUUUCCUUUGCCAAAUACAAGUCAUGAAUUGAGCUAACCUCGUAAUGCAUAUUCCCAUGUACAUUCAUGUUGAACCGAGAUCAUGUUUCUCCAAGAUAGAAAUGAUUUUCCAUGCAAGGAUUUCAUCUGCAACUAGCCAACUACAGCAACAAAAUACCAUAGCAGUAGAUUCAUUUUUAAUUCUAUCUAUAGUUCUGUAAGGGCAAUUUUCCUUUGAGCAAAUGGACAGUGUAAUUGAUUCAACUUGAAGAUACUCCCCAAGAUUUUGAACAUUCCUGUCUGAAAGUUCGGUUGAAAGCUUAAAAGAUAGUUGGGAAAGCCAUAGAGAUUUUCUAGAUAAGCUAUCCAUAACAUGGAUCUCAUCUAAGCUACCAAAGUAUAUGGGUCUACAAUGAGCAAACCUGACCUCAUGCUCUUGUUGUCCCAAGAGUAGCAAUAGUUCAUCCUGAUGUAAUGCCUUGGUUUUUUUACCAUUUUCCAUCACCAAGAUCCCUUCAUUUACUCUAUCAUCACUUACCUGUAGCGCUGGACCACAACUUAAACUAGAAUCAAACUUGGCGUCCAAAUUUCUUUUCAAAUGCUUGAAAUGGGGAUUUGAGCAUUCGCGUAUAAGCAUGUUUGAAGUUCUUUCUGCUUUGUAACUUAAAUCUUUUAAAUCAGGAUCAAUCAAGUUUCUUUUUAAGAACUUAAAAUUAGGAGUUGAACAACUCUGAAUAAACAUGCUUGAGGCUUCUGCUUUGACAGAAAGUGUUGAAGAUAUGGAUACGGUUUCAUUAUUUGCAGGAUCAUGACAUGGGAUUCCCAGUUCAGAAUGAAUCCUCUCCUUUAAAACAGCCAUUUUAGGUUUCUCUCCAUGUACAAGAAUCACAUGCUUGGGACUAAGGAAUUUCACAAGAUCCAUAAUUCCUUUGGAAUCAGUAUGUGGGCUGAAUGCCAGUUGGUGAACCUGGAAUUAAACAUAUAUAUAGUCAGGAAAAUUGAAUACAACCAAUACGACUGUAGAAAGAAUACAUGCAUAAUAAAAGAAAAAAAAAUGUUCAGCCAAGUCAACUUCAAUAUCGAUACUUAAUAUUGGUUAAAUCCAGAAACAUUCCCUGUACUUGAGCUAGAGUUUUCCACAUUCAGCAUUUUAUCCAUAUUUUAGUCCCAUUUUCAUUCACAUAUCUGAAUUCAUCCAGUUGCCUAAGUUGUUUGUCCAUUUAAAAAUAAUAAAAUAUAUAUUGAUUCGCUUGCCAAUUAUCAGAACCUCAUCUCACAUUCUCACGUACAUACUCAAAAAGAGGCCUUUCAUCUAUUUCUCAACGUCCAUAUUGUAUCCCUUAUAUGCUACUGUUAUUUAUUUUGGAGUUUUUCUAUUUAUUUGCUACCCUCCAACAAAAGAUGACACUAUAUUAUAUUCCUCGUCAUGAUAUAAAUAUGCAUAGCAUGUAUGCAUGUAUAUACACACAAAUAUAUACAUAUGCAUAUGUAACACACAUAUAUACAAUCUAAAUUGAUAUCAAAUAGAACAUCUGAGUUCAAACUCCAGAGUCACAUCUUUUCUAAUCUCAUUAACAUUUAGAGUUCACUUAUUGAGUCUCGUGUUAAUUUCUAACUCUAAGCUUAGAAAUAUAUUGGAAUUAUUAAAAAGAUUUAAUUUAACCAAUCUCAUUGACAUAACCUUUUAAGCUUCUGAUUUUUAGUACAAUUUAGAACUAACGCAUAUUUUGGAGGCUUUAUUUAAAAGUUGUUCCUCCCCUUUUGUAGGUAAAUGGAGCCGAAGUGAUUCUCUCAAAACCUUGGUUUUGGAAGGAACUAAAUAAUUAUUCAGAACGAAGCCCUUUGUGGAUAGGAUCGUUAUGAGAUUGCUUGAGGCAAAGCUUCCUAUCUUCUCAGUUUAGUAGUAAUUAAUAGAAAGUCAAGUUUGAUACAUAAACUUUUAAGCUUCUAAGUUAGUAAUAAUUACAUCGGUAAGAUUGUAAAUAUUAAAUUUAACCUAAACCGAUAGAAGACGUGAUCCCAACUAAUUUGAUAUCCAAUGUUUCAUUAUCUUCCAAAAUGGGUGCAUCUAAUUGAUCAAAAUUUUCGUUCACAAGUCUUCCCCAUGUGGACAUGCUUCAAAUCUGAGGGUAAAAAGGUGGAACAUAUAAAUUUGAGAGGUUGUGAUAAUUUUUAACUUUCCUGGGGACAAAAACAAAGAAGUUAAAAACGUCUUCAAUCUGAAAUACAAGAACGCUAGCACCAUUGCACCAUUCAUUGUAACUUAGUUGUGUCUUCCUAGUUUUUCCUUAGGUGAAUAAUAGUCCAAAGAGGCGAUAUUAUGAGGUGUUUGUGAAGCAUCAAAAACUACCAAGUUGUGAACCUCUAAGAAACAUUAAAAUCCAAAUUGAGAUGCAAUUUUCACCCAGUUAAGGAAAGCUGAGGAUUAAUGAUUCUAAUAAACGAAUAAUAAUAUUUAAAAAGAAAAACACAACAUAAGGUCAGGUAGAUACUAGCCUGGCAUUGCACAUCAAUUUGAGUGACCUUGUCCAGAUCAAUUUUGGUGGGUUUACCUGACAUUAACUUGUGUCCAACAGUUCCAGCAACACAAUACCUACAUAAGGUAAAGUAAUAUGGCUUACAGAUGGCAAUUUCAAAUUCACAUUAUGCUUGGAUGUAAGACCAUCCUAUACAUGACCAAACACGAACUAUGAACAACAUAAGCAAAUUUUAGAAUAAUAAAAAUAAGUAAGAGAAAAGAAAAAAAAAAAGUGCUGCAAAAGUGAAAGAAAAAACUCAGUCACAUAAAUUGAAUGCCCUUAUGGUUUAUCAAAGAACCAGCCUGCAAAAGUACACUUGAAAAAUGAAGACAAAGCAUUAGCCAAAAGAGAGUAGUCAAUACCCAGGUAAUGUGAUCAGAUUCAAUUUAGAAGGUGCCCAACGCUUAAAAACUUCAAGAGAAAACCCACUACUGAUCAUCCCUGGUGUAGCAAAGAGAACACAAGGUCCAGGCGCAUCAAUCAUAGAACGGUCGAACUUUUGAACUGCAACAUGUAGCCCAAGUUCAUAAUUUACAUAAGCACUUCGUCAGUGGCUAAAAUGUCAUAUGACACAUGUGAUGUGUAAUUAGACUUCGAAUCCAACAGAAGUCACCCACAGAAGUGGGAGAAAUGUGUUCUGUCCAAAUUUACUCGUAGUCAGGGCAUACUUAGUGAUUUAAGAACAUGAUUCAAUUUAAACUUAUAAAAGUGAUUUUUUUAGUGAAAAAACCACUUUCAUCGAGAAAAAAUGCAAGAACACAUAGGCAUACAAAACACCAAGACCACAAAAAGGAGCUUGACCCAUUACAAGGGGUUCCAACUAUGCAAAAUCGUUCCUAGAGAAUAAUUACAAAAGGUCUUCAAAAUCCAAACCCAAAGAGAAACAUAGUAACAGACCAGAAAAAUCAAAUAAAUCUUAGAGUUUAGGGUUUAUAAAAAGUCAUAAAGCCAUGUUUGGUAUAGAGAGUUUAGAAUAAGUGUUUUUAGCAACAACGCUUUGUUUAUACAUGAUUAUAUAAAAGGGGCAUUUAAUAAUAACCUCAAUGCUUGAUUCCACACAUUUAAAUUUUUAAAUGUUAAUUUUCAGAUUUCUAAAGGCAUUACACUUCGUAACUGAUCCUUAAGGGAUUCUUAGGCAAUCACAUACUAAAAUUACCUUCUAUCUACUAUGCCUAGAAUUCCGUCAAAGUAUUUGUGAUGUAAGAAGACUAUAGGUUAAUUGGGUAAUUAGGUAAUAUUCUAGUUUAAUUCCCUUUUUACCAAUAGAACUCUAUAAAUAGGAAACUUCUCUUGUAUGAAGCACAUUAUUUAUUCUAAUAAAAAAUCCAUAACUUUGAUUCUCGGAGGAUUUCUCCUUGAGGUUACUUAGAUUAUAUCAAUUUGGAUUUUAUCAAAAUCACUCUACACCAAGCAUCAUUGUCUCGAAACAAAACAAAACUGAUUUGGGAAAUGGCAGGUUGGGACAUUUAUCAAGUAUUGAAGCAUCAUACCUUAACAAUGAAUAAAUGAAGAGGAAAGUAAUUUUGGCAUAAAAAAUCCCUUCCAAAGAUGCCACUUAAUUUCCUCUUCAUUUAUUCAUUGCUAAGGUAAAAUACCUCGAUAUUGAAAAAUAUCCCCACCUACCACUUCAAUUGGGAUGCCCACAUCACUUCACCGGUAAGCAAAUAAGCUCAACAUAAAAACAUUUUUUUUUUUUUUAAAAGGAUACGAGUCUCACUAUUAUUAAUAUUGAAAAUAGAGAGACAGAGCUCAAUGAGGGUUAUACAAGAGUAAUAGGAGGGGGAUCAGCAGGCGCACCCAGACACACCCCCUUAGCACCCUCAUCACAUCCAAAAAAGCGGAAAAAAAAAAACCUAAAUACCAUGUUUCUAAAAGCAAUACAAGAGCCAAACAAAGGCCAUAAAACAAGGCCAAACAAGAGUUUAAAAGCCACAAUACAAGGCCAAACAAACUAUCCAAAACAGAAACAUAAGCAAGGCAGCAAGCCGAAUACAAAACAAAAUAAUAGACCUUGAUUGAGCAAAUACUGAUUGGAGCAAAAGGCUGAUUCAGAAGGCAAGAUACUCUAGAACAAGAGUUUAAGGUUAUAUUUUUAAGAAGCAAUUGUUUGCAAUCCUGAAAACUUGAAACAUGUGAAGAAACAGUACCAUUUUUGAAGUCAAAUGCAUUCCUUGUAGUGUACGUCUCUUUGACCUUCUGGCUUGUCCAACUAAUGAGCAUUUUAUAGUACAUAUUAGCUUGAACAGUCAAACCUGGAAGCAUAAAUACGAACACAAGAAUGUAAAGGUCAAGAACAGCACUACUAAUAGAAGAGAACAGAAUGAGAAAAAGUAUUUGUGAAACGUAAUAAUUCCAAACAAUUUUAAAGAAACAUAUUUAGUAGCUAUCGGUGUCAACUGUUUCUCAUGGUGGUCUACCGGAUGGUGCUAAAGUUUCAUUUAGUCUGGUCCUCCAGUUAUAGUUCUUACAUGUAUACUGCGUCAAUUCACAUAUUGAAAAUGAAAAGAGAUUUCAAUGAGCCAAUAAUUUAAAAUUCGUACUGUUGGAAAGAGAAAGUAUAAUCGCUUCUUCCAUUUCCAUAUCUUUCUUCAUCAAUGAUGGACCAAAAGAACCACUGUCAUCAUUAUUGUAGUGGAUUCAUUUUAUUCAUGAGAAAACGCAAGGAAAAAAAACUUGCACUAUCAAUAAUAGUGGUAAAAGAAGCAAAAGCUUUAUAUACAUAAGUUCUACCAGCAGGCAGCAACAACAAUGGCUAAUAGCCCACCAAGCAUCGCCCCUUCAAUCCUCAAAGCCAAUAAAGGGUUUUAAACACAUAGUUCAUCGACCGUUGGCUCUAACUCACCAAGCAAAUGAAUAUCAAGCCAUCAAUGUAGUUCAAUUUCCUAUCUAAAUCUUCACCAUCAUUUAUGAGUCAAAUAGAAGGAUGGGUGAAGUAAACUACGAAUCUUGGAGAAUUCUUAGAGUAGAUGUCUUAGUCAGUAAUUGUUCACAUAUGAGGGGGAAGACUCAUAUAUACAGAGAUUUAAUAUAAGCGGGAGUAAAAAGAAAAUUAACCUAGACUAUUACCUAAUUAAACCAUUCUUCUUACAUCAAUGGGCUGAGCUCAUUGAAGGGUGUACUAGAUGUUCUAAUCGAGCAAAACACUCAAUAAUGAAUCAUAACAGCUCAAUUGCGGUUCUCAAUAAAUUUCUAACAAACAUCUCAAAUUUAUCAAUAAAUUAUAGGCAGAAGAUUAUUGAAGCAGACCAUGGACUUACAAGACAUUGGAAAUCGUAAAGAGGAAAUAGGAAGCUAAAAAGUUGCUAUAUGAUAUCUAAAAGGAUGAAGUAGUUUAAUAUUCAAAGGAGACCUGCUGAAACAUAGAUCGGAAACUUCAGAUUCAUGCGCUCCCAAUAGUCAUCCAACAAGACACAAAGUUCCUGCUCAAACAGAAAAUUUUAUAACAAAACUGAAAUAGUAUUAUAUAACAUGCGCAAAUUCAGUAUGAGAGAUGCAGAUUGCAGUAAAAGAUUUAAAAGCCACACCUAACGUUCAGUAAAGUACCUGAGCCCGUCCAAGCGCAAAAGUAGGAAUAAGGACCUUCCCUCCACUAGCCAAACAAUUAUGAACCUACAUCAAAUGGUACGGGAAAAGAUCUUGUUCAGAUAAUUCCAUUGCUAAAAAUUAUGAAUUUUAAAGUUCAAAUAAUUCAGUAUAUAUUUAACAAUUUACAGUAUAGAAUGGAUUUAAGUCACCAAUCAAUGCUUAAUAGCCAUAAGCCAUAAACAGUAUCUAUCAUCUUUUUAUAUCUGUGAGUGUUUGGACUAGCUUAUGUGUACCUCGACUAAUCAGUAUCUAUCUUAUAUCUUGGCCUUCAACUAUGAUUAGUUAGUCUACAAUUGUAACAUGCAAUAUCCUACACAGAAAGCCAUCAACCAACCUAUAAUCUUGAACCAUCACAAAAUAAACCCUAAAACAAAACAGGAGCUAAAACAAAACCAAAUAUUUUAUUCCCUUCACCAAGGGACGUAAAAUAUAUUAUUUGAAGCUAUCCCUAAUUUCAACUAUAUACCAAGUUGGAAUUGGGCAUGAUUCAACUUUACCAUAAUUAUGUCCUACUCCUGAAUUAUUAUAAUGCCAAUAUGCAUGAAUAACAUGAAUAAAAAGCCGGCUUAUCCGAUGUCUAAUUAAAAACGAGGUGCAGAAAAGGAAAGUCCGAGUGAAGAGUUUUAAUAGUUUAAUUUAUACAUACAGCUUUAAGAAAUUCUCUCUCGCGGGCAUAUUUAGAAUCACGUAUGGUUGUUGCAUAUGUAGACCUGCAAGACAAACAUUGAAAGAUUAACUUUAGAAAUAUUUUGCAGAACACAAAUGUUAACGUACCAUGCCAGAUGAAAAAGCAUCAGAAACAGGGAAAUCUCCUCUAUUUAACUGGAAGACCAUAAAUAAAGUUUAGUAAAAAUGGGAAAGGCAGUGGACUUAUUUCCACAUCUAUGUGAUUACUUUCGAGUCCAUACCCGACAUUUUCUAUUGGAUAAAAUUUCAUUGAUAGUAUGAAAUUAUACAAAAAGAAGGCACAGGAUCUCAUCCAAUGAAAUAAGAAGAAACUUCUCCAAUUGAGUAUGAAACUAUGUAGCUUAGUUGUAACUCACUUUUUAUUUCUUUUAUUGCUUUUUUUAAAAUGAUACAACACUUUUCAUUAAGGGAAUGAAAAGAGACUGCCGCUAAAACAAAUACAAGGAUACAAAAAAUAAAGACAAACAAAAAAAUAGAACUAAAAAGGAAUAAUGCAAGCAUUGCAACCACUAUGUAUAUCCUGAAUUGAGAGCACUUCAAAAUUCAUCGGAAGAGAACACCAAGAAAAAGACUUGAGACAAGCCAAGUGAAAAUGAGCAUAAGAAGCUUGAGCAGAAUUCUGAAAGAGGUGUCGAUUAGUUGCAAUUCACUGUUUUCAUUUUUGGUUCUUUUAUUUCACUCCCUUGAGGAGUUGGCAUCCCUAGAGUAUUAGGAACUUUUCAUUUUAUCGAUAUAAACCUAGUAUCUUGACCUUGUAGUUGCAAAAAGGAGAAACAUUUUCAAGAUAAAACUAAAAAAAUCUCAAGGUGGGUCUUUUAUUUGACCUUGGCAACUCUAAAAUGGGCAAAGAUGCUUGCAUCUUUUGGACAAGGACUGUGACAGGCUAUUUUAUAGAAGGUACAUCACUUUUAGCAAUCAAUUGAAACAAAUUGUCACCUAUUUUUCUUUUGUCAUUAUAGCCUUACAGCGCUCAUUAAUCAAUUGCGGUGCUUUUUGUAAAUAGAACAUUGGACCUUUUGUAUCCUAUUUCAUCAUAUCAAUGACUGGUUAUUCUAUUGUUUCCCAUCCCAAAAAGUAAAAAACAUAGUAUUUAGUUCUACAAGUCAAACCCCUCCAACCGAUCUAUCUAAGAAACAACCUAUCAAAGCAAUGGCUAGUUCUUUAUACUACUUUGCAAACCGUCAAACUAAUUCCUAACUAACUACUAUUUCUUUUUUUUAUCCAUGAGUGUCCAUGCGCACAACUUGACUAGUCUCACAGGCAUACACGACUAAUCUUACAACAUUUGAGUGUGAAGGAAACUCGUAAGAAAUUAAUUCUCGGGUAGGUGGCCACCAUGGAUUGAACACAUGACCUCUCUUAGUUAGUUAUUGAGACUAAUUCCUAACUAACUACUAAUUAAACAGUUAAUUGAAAUUACCAAAACAAAACACAAUUCUAGUCUUUGAUAUAGGCUACAUCAGGACUGGUUAGUUCGAUCAACAUUUAUAACCCAACUUGAUGGGAGCAUUAAAACCCAUUUAUUUCCAAGUCCAAUCCAAACCCAUUAGAGGUAGCAUACUACAUUAUGACCGCCAUUAUUUUUCAUAUACAGUUUACAAAUAGGUCAUAGGUGUAUGAUGACAUUAAAUUCCUAUUCUUAAUGGUCACUCAAUUCCUAGCAUUUGAUGUGCCUUAGGGAUCAUUUAAAAUGCACAUCACCUAGGUUCUGGGUAAGUAAAGAAAGUUCCUCUGUCCCUACUUUUUGAAUUCAGUAACGUGAGAGUGAAUAUUUGAACGAAAACAGAUACAAAGUCUUAAGAAGUUAAGCUAUGCUUAGAAGAUAAAAAUUGAAACCAUUUAUUUCUGGGUAAAAUAUUAGAUAAUGGAUUCAAUGUUACUGCAUUGCUUUCCUCUGAAAAAGAGAUAAAAAAUUGGAAAAAGUUUAUGUUCACUUCUUACUCUGUUAUAAGAAGGUCUAAUUGCAUUCGAUCAAUUUGAGCUGCUCCCAGAUGUCUAUCAGGUGUCAUAUUAUAGUCUCCUGUGUAUACCAUAGCAGCAUCUCCAACUUUAGCAUAAAACAUGGCAGCUCCUAAAACCUUAAGAACAUGAUUGAAAUAUAAAUAUGCACAUUCCGCAUUGACAGUUGAAGUGCUGAUGGAGAAUACGUGAAGCAACAAGAAAAAACUUUGAACAGAAGUCAAAGAAUCAUUUACAGUGGAUAUAAUGGAAAUAUUAAGAACUAAGUCUACAAUUCUGGGCUAUAAUUCAUGCGUAAGUUGCUAGUAGAACAACAUAUGUCCACAAAAGAUGCACAUACACAGCAAGCAACUAAUAACUGGAUUUACUUUUUCCCACAUCCGACAUAAACAAGAAAAAUUAACAUGUAAAAUUUUCCAUUUGAAAAGCACAAAAAAACAAAAGGUUACAAUUUCUAACUCAAUCUAUCACCAGUUUGUCACAUCAUAUCCAAUGGGCAAUGGAAUUUGUUGAUUAGCAACACUCAAACUGCAUCCUUAACAAUGUUAUCCUUCUUAUUUACGUCUUAUUUCUUGUGAAAUAAAUACAUAUGUACCAACACGUGAACUUACAUUCACAUACAGAAUAUUCUAGGAAACUAGAUAGAAUUCCAUAGAAAGCACAGUCAUCAGUUGUUUUUUCAUUAAAUGGUUCGUUGAGCUUCCAUAUUUGCAAGCCAACCCCCCACACCAACCCCCCCCCCCCCCUCCAAACAAAAAAAGAAAAAGAAAAGAAAAGAAAUUAGAAGAAAAACAAAAAAUUAAUAAUCAUUCAUCAAUUUCAAAUUGAAAAUACAGAAGAUUUUCAAAUCUCAUCCAUUUGAAAACUCCUUUUUUUGUUUUAAUGAAAAAAUGGUCUUUUGGUCCCUAGAUUUGGAGUUCAUGUUUAUUUGGUCCCUAAAGUUUUUAGUUCCUCAAGUUUUUUUAAUGCUUCUAAAUGGUCCCCGAUUUAACUUGAAGUUAACAAAAUGCUCACUAGACCGAUAUGUGUUGAUGUAGAAGUUAAUUGUAUUAGAUGAUGUGUCAAUUAUAUGGGAUGAGUUGGAAAAUAAAAUAAACUCCAUUUAAAAAAUAAAGAAAAGUUAUUUAAAAUAUUUAAAAGCUUUUUCGUGUAAUUAAGAAGAUACUAAUGAAAAUGUGGAUCUUAUCAAAUUGUUCACUUCCUCAAUGUUGAGUUUCACAAAUGGUCCUCCUGGUUCUUUCUUCAACAGUGCCUUGCUGACGGCUCUAUAUGUUAACCGCUUUAGAUUUUAGCAGCAAAGAGACAGAAAAUUCAAUGAUCACCAAGUACAAAUCAAGAUUUGGAGUUGGCAGUAUAAAAAAUGACUUGGUAGUAGUUUUAUUGACGAGAUUUGAAGUUUUAAUUACAUCAAAAUUAACUUCCUCGACCCCAUCAUGCUAAUCAGUUACAAUUUCAAUAUUUUCCCACAGAAAAAAGUAAUUACAGGAAACAACAAUAUUUAAACUGGGUUAGUUAAUCUGAUUUUGAUAUUUCUACCAUUAGUUCUUUCUAAUCAAUAGCUAAUUUUCAUACAAAAAAGGAAAUCCCACCGUAAUGAGGUUUCAAAGUCUAAGCUAGUGAAGAAAGGUGGGGACGGAGAGUUUCUUAUCCUUUGGUUGAGCUUGUUUCUUGCUUUGCCCUUAUCAAUUAGUCAAACUAAAGGGGUCACGUUCUAUAUUUUCUUCAAGGAUUAGAUGACCAUUAACCACAAUUCAAGUGGACAAUAGACAGUGACAGGGAGGACUUGGUCAACAAUGGGCAAUGAGCUGGAAAACUAUUGUAAAUGGCAAAAUUGCUGAAAAUAUUUACAAAAUUUCAAAUUCUAUUAAUGAUAAAUAGAUGUUAGUAGACUUUUAUCAAUAUCUAUCAAUACACUAAUAGAAGUCUAUCAAUGUCUAUCAUUGAGAUAAUCUAAACUUUGGCUAUAUUUUUGUUCAUAAUGCUACAUUUGAAAAUGCUCUUAAAGGUCUCCAAAUGCCAUUGGUAAACAAAAACAAAAGAAGCUUCGUGUUUUGAAGCUUUUCUACUGCAAUUAUGGCCAUAAGUAUUUUUUUUUUAAAUCUUUAAAUAUUUUAAAUAACUUUUCUUAGGGGCUAGAGGGAAGAUAUAUCAUAACCAAGGAAGUUACAAGAUCCCCUCCAACCUAAAUUAAUAUAAAGGUUGCUACUUGCUAGUAUUGGGUAAAAAGCAUAGAAAGAGAAAGAAGUAAAUGACAGGAUGAAAUUCAGAGUUGAGUAAUGAAACAAGGAUGAAAUUUAGAACAAGCCAACACAUAGGACAUGUCUACCACCCAUGAGAAAUAUUGUCAGCCACCUCUAAAUGAAGCUAUAUUAGGAGAUGCAAAAUAAGAAAACGAAAUGUGUCAAAAGAGGCUUUACAUGUCCAGCAUAGUAAGCACGAAUUUGAAGAUCUUCAUCAACCUGUAUAGUCUGCUUCAAAUCCACAGGUACAACUGCAGGUGAAUCAAGAUCAAUGGCAAAUAAUCUUAAGAUACAGAGAAAAAAUAAUGGCAUGCAAUUGAUGCAUAUCAAAUACAUUAAAACAAAUAUAUUAGAACAAAAGCAAAAAAGGUACCCACAGAAACUUAACUGUUACGUAAUACAUAACUACCAAUAGUGCAGUUUAGAACUCAACUUGAGCCAGUACAAUCAUCAAACUAGGGUGCGUUUGGAUUGUCUAUGAAAAAAUAUGUUUUCAAAAGAUGCAUUUUCUUUUUAGCAUUUUUUCGAAAAAUUGUUUAUAGUUUAAACACCAUAAUUUUUUGUUAUAUUUUUUCAUAAGUGUUCAUAUACACAUUUUUGUUUGGUUUGUUCAACCUAAGUGUUUAUAUUAAUGUCAAAUUACCACAAAGGUCUAUGAAAUAUUAUGAACUAAAAACUAAACAUUAAUUUUAUAAUUUUCUUGUGUUAAAAAUAAAAUAUUUUUGGACUACAGAAUUAUAGAAGCACGUCUAACUUGAAAUUUAAAUACAUAAUCAUAAUAAAACAAUUUCAUCUCCAACCAUAAUACAUAAAUUUUAGUCAUUUCAGUAAUCCCUUCUAAAAUUUUGGAGGGAUUCAUUAAAUUAUAAGAUUUAAGAUUUGAAAUUUGUUGAAAAUUAUCUAUUUCUAUUGUUGUUUUUAAAAAAUUUAAGAUUUAAAAUUCAUUAAAUAAAGUCAACAACUAUUUUCUUGGAGUGUGGAUGGGAGAGGUGGGUUAAUGCAAGGGUAGUUUAGUCAUUUUAGCAUAUGCUUAAAAUUUGAGAGGAAUUUCCGGUUAAGCACCAAAUAAUCUCUUUUCCUAAAAUUUGGUUCCAAGUGUUCUCUCUAAAAUAUUUUAUUGCAAAAACUCAUUUUUGAAAAAUUAUUUUAAAUAGUUACCAAACACCUCAAUUUCUCUUAAAAUGAUUUAAUUUAAAAAUUAAACACUUCAAAAGUUAAUCCAAACACACCCUUAGUAAAUGGGAACAAACAUAAAUAAUGAACAAGUAAUUGAGCACGAAGCGUGAGGAUCUCAUAAAAUAGCAAUUUUCCAUAUUCAGUUAAAGGUUUCUCCUUCUACACUAUGUAUAUUAGGUGAAGGUCGAAAGAAAAGAACAAGUUCCGGUUAAUAAAAAAGUAAAGGCAAAGUAAGAGUUGCACAAGAAGGCCAAAUUCAAAAUCAUUUGGAAUCAGACAAAAAGUACAACACAAGGCCAAAUAAACCGAGAACAGAAACCACUAAAGGGAGCUUACUAUACAACAUUUGAAGAGAUAAAAUUCAUUCUAUCCUCCAGUUUGCUGAUGACACUUAACUGUUCUGUAAAUAUAAUAAUGCAAUGCCUGUUGUGUUAAUUAAAUUAUUGCUCUUUUUGAAGCAUGAUCAGGUCUGAUAGUUAAUGAAGGAGAAAUUAGCAAUUUGUGGUCUAAAUGUGGAAAACUUAAAGUUGUCUGAAGUGUCAAGGCGGACCAAUUGUAAGGUGGUAACCUUACAUCUCCUUUAUCUUGGCCUUCCCCUUUGGUGGUCAGCCAGUAAUUUUUUCGGUAAAAUGGUAAUUGAAAAAAAAUUAACAAGCUUGCUAGAAACAUUUUUAUCCCUCACAAGGAGAUGAUUAACUCUUUGCAACUCAGUUAUCUCAAGUAUCCCCUUAACUACAUCUCUUUCCAAUAUGCAUUUAUGCCUUCUCAAGUUGAGCUUGGAUUUAGAGUGUUUGAUGGAAGUCUUUUGGAAAGGUAAUGAAGGUGGUAAGCGAUGGAACUUAGAAUCUAAACCUCAAUGUGAAUAAAGGAGAAGUUACUGUAUCCCUUUCGUGCUACACACCUCACGAACCACCCUGAACAAGUUCGAAAUUUAGUUAGUCUUGCUGAUUCACGUCCUUCAUUUCUGUAAGAUCCUGGUUCUUUCACUAGGUUCGUAAUAGCUUCCAUAAACCAUUCAAGUUGGAUCUUGGACACUUUGAGAAUUUUUCUGUAAUCCACAUCCUCAAUACGGAAAUAUCCUCUUUCAAAGCAUAUGAAGUAAAACGAAUCUUGGAUUUUGCAGCUUUUCACCUCUGUCUGAAACUAUUGUCUUGCCGGAAUUAGAGAAUGCCGAAGCUGGGUGGAAACCGUGGACUGGGGGAGGAGGACAGAGGACAGAGGACUUAAAACCAAAGUUCCCUUUGCAUGGGGGAAAACCAAACACAGUUUUUCUGGUUGAAAAGAGUCUUAAGCUCAACAACAGUUCUAGGAUUUCAGAUUUUAAUAAACCUUUUGACGUAUUUGUAGAUGCUUCUCGAAUAGGAAUAGGGGCAAUUUUAAGUCAAAAUAAACACCCCAUAGAAUUCUUUAGCAAAACCUUUGUUUGGUUUGUUGGUUCGUGAUUUAUUUUUGCUUUUAUGUUUUAAAAAACAAAAAAUACAAGAAAAAAAUUUAAAGCACGUUUGGUAUACCUAUUUUUAAAAACGAUUUCCAAAUACCUUUGAAGUAGCCCAUUUUCAAAAAAAAAAAAUUCUCGUUUUUUGUUUUUAAAUUUUGUUUUCAGAAAUUAUGAACAUGGGAUACACUAUUGCAUUUCCAAAUUCACAAUCAAACACAAAUUUUGAAUUUUGAGUUCAAAUUGAAACCAAACGUGUUUUAAUAUAUUGUGAAAAAGAAGAUUUGUGUUUUCUACUAAAUUCUUUGUUCUCUAAAAUAACUUUUGAACCACAAACCAAACAAGGCCUAAGCUCUUCUAUAUUGAAAUGGUCAACCUACAAGCAAGAACUCUACUCUCCUCUUACGUCCUUAAAACAGUGGGAGCGUUAUCUGCUUGGGGAAGAAUUUGUGUUGUAAACUAACCACUUUCCUUUGAAGUUCUUACAAGCACGAAAGGAAAACAGUCAUAUCCAUGCUAGGCAGAUUCAUUUCCUCCAACGAUUUGACUUUGUGAUCGAACAUACACAACGUAAAGUAAACAAAGUGUCUGACGCUCUAAGCAGGAAAGGUACACUGGUGCUCUAAGAAGGAAAGGUACACUCCUAACUCUACUUCGUGGGGAAAUUAUAGCUUCUGAUCAUUUACCUGAACUAUAUGCUAAUGUUCGAGAUUUCCAAAAUAUUUGGCAAGCUUGCUGCAUUCAUAUCCCAACUAAAGACUUCCAUUUUUUAAUGAAAAGCACAACUUUCAUUAGAAAACACGAGCAUACAAAACCGAGCCCACAAAAAGAGGAAUCCCACUAUAAGAAAGGACUCCAACUACAAAAUCAAGUUCAUAGAAUGAUUAUAAAAAGUCUUCAAAAUCGAAGCCCAGUGGGAGACAUGAAAGCGAAAUCAGUGAAAGACUUGGCAAGAGAGAACUAGGAAGAAGCAUUAAUUACUUCAAUGAAAAUAUUUGUUUCAUUUUGGAAAAAGAACAAAUAAUAAAUAAAUCACAUUGUGAGAUUAACCAACAUGGACAUGUAGUACCAUACUCCUCUAUGGACCAUGAAACUUCGAUGUUUCAACCGUUUUAAAGAAAUGGAGAUAACACUUAAAAUUUGGCCGCCUAAACAAUCACAGUCCCAGCCAGAGACUAGCUGCAUACUAUUUAAGAUCUUGACAUAAUUAAGUUACCUUUUUUCAAGCACUCCAUAAUAUGGUCAUUAGUAAAUUGUUCUGCUUCACCCCUUCGAUCAACCAUCACUUUUCGAUAGUCCUCCAACGUUAUAGGAGCCAAUGCCAUUGUUGGAUACUGCAAUCAAGAGGAAGUAAAGAGAAAACUUCAAUGCCAAAAUGUAAGAAACCAAAAUUGACAAAAGUUUCCCCAUUUUGGUAAGAAACCACUUUCAUGGAGAGAAAUGAAAGUGUAUACAAGUCACACAAAAAAUAAGCCCAAACAAAAAGAGAGUUUGAUUGAACCUAAUUAUAGAAAAAGAUUCAAAUCCAAAACCACAAUACCAAAGCUCAUUAUUACAAAAAGACCUUGAGAUCAAUGCCCACAAGAAAGUAUUACACCUAGCCACUUCUCAAACAUCCAUAGCCCCCAGAGCUCUCCACCUCUCUAAAAAUUCUAUCAUUCCUCUCAAUUAGAAUGGCCCACAUACCUGUAAAAAAAACUAGCUUGCCACAAAACUUUAGGAUGGUUCAGAUCUGCUUCCUUGGAAGCCUUUCCCCUAUCGUAGUUAACCGUAACUCUCGAGCUUUUGGAGAUCCCAAUCCAUCAUGUUUGGGCUCUCACCCCUAGCCUUUUGUCCUCCCUUAGUCUUCCUUUUAGACACUGAUAAUGCUUGAGCAUCUUCCACUUCCACUCACUUAACGCCCAAAGACACUAAUGCCCCCCUCCCCAAGUCACAUUGCCAAAAGACUCCCCACUAGGAAUCGAAAAUGGAACCAAAAGCGGGUUAGAAAGGGAGUAAGGAUCCCCAAGCAAAGGCCCAUUAGGCAACAGCAAAGGGCCUCUCUCUAUCCCAUUCCAACAAUGUUAGACCAAGAAGCAACCUUUGGAACUCCUUCACCAAUCAAAUAGACCAGUAAUAGAGACGAGGCACCCUCGAAAUCAGGACAAUAACUCGAAGACGGAACACACAAAAUAGAAGGAACAACGUUAUUGAAUACAAAGAAAAAACUUUGAUUUCUAGAGAACUAAAUGUAAGAUAGAAUCCUAAAAGAAAAUUAAAAACUAAUUUCAUUGAAACUAAAAUGUAAUUAUCAAGGAUUAACCAAGAUUAAUCUGAUUUUAUCAAAUUAUCUCAAUCCUAUUACAUCAGUUUCACUAGAUGAUUUAGAAAAAUAUAGAGAAAUGACAAAGGAAAAGAUAAUGUAAUGAAAAAAUAGGAUAACCAUCACUAAACCCAGUUACUCGAAAGAAUCAAACCUCUCCUACUCAAGCACUCAGGUGCUACAACUUUACCUCCCUUCUUUAGAAAUCACAAAACCCUACGAAAACCUGUCUCAUGGGUCCCUACAUCUUAAAUGUGCCACUCAAAACAUUUCUAAGCAACUACAUUGUGUGAAUACCUCUUUUGCCUCUCCCUACAUAUGUUUGAGUGAUUGGAGACCUUGCAAUAACCUGCCACACCUUUCUAUCAUGCAAAGGAGGACGUCAAAAACCUAAAAGAAAUUGAAGAAGGGCCUGGGGAAGGCAACACCAAGACCACAGCCCACAGGAAGCAAGCUACACAUCAAUUCAAAAUCUUUUCAACCACAGUUUGUGUGCGCUGUUUUCUUCAAAGCUUUUGCAUCUCUUAACUAAGAUCUAUGAAAGAAGCCACAAUUCAAACAUUUUCCAACCAUAAUUUGAGUUUACUUUUUUUUCAAUUUCUUUCUUUUGAUGGCUUCACUUCAUGUAAAUUUUGUAAUGACAAAAUUCUUAACCUCUUCAAAAAGAAAAAAAUCUAACAUGACCAUGGUAAAACAAAAAGCACAUAAACAAACAUCUAUAAGCAUGUGUAUGAAAUGAAACUUACCGUCAUGUAAAUGGGUCCAUUAUAGCCACAAACUUCGGUGAAGUAUGGAAGAGCACCUAUAUGGUCCAAGUGACUGCAAAAUAGCAUAGAAGUUGAGAAAAGACAAAAACACAACAUUGUAAGGAAUGUAACAGAGAUUUAUCGAUCACUACAAAAUAAUAAUAAUAACAACAACAGCAACAUACAAGUGUGUAAUGAUGAUACAGGAGAGAACAUUAUUAUAGUCAUGAGAAGCAGAUAUGCGAGAGAAAUCAGGAUAUCGACGAUGGUCGACAUAGCCCAAAUGCAUCCCGCAAUCAAACAUAAUUCGCUUUCCAUUGAUUGUAACGACCACACAACUCUUCCCAACUUCUUGCCCAGCGCCUAAAAGAGGUAAGGAUUAAGAUCAAAUUCAGAAAAAUGUAAAUAAGUAAAGAAUACUUAUGGAACAACUAGAGGAUUACCAAGAACGAGGCAAUCGAUGGCCAUUGCAAUAGUCCUUCAACUCGGACAAACUUCUACGCAAUGCUAGGCCUCAGCGACCCCAAGAGAGAGAAAAGGCAACCAGGAGGCCAGAGCGAAAAGAAACGAUUGUGGUUCUAGAGAAAAGAAACGAUGAGUGCAACACUGAACCAAGCGAGACAGCAGCAAGCAGUGAGAUUGGCCGAAAAAGAAGAAGAGUCAAGAGUCCGUCGGAUAAAUGACAUGAAAAUUUAGGAGAAAAUGUCAAAUGACCCGGGUUUUGAAGAGGUCCCGAAUGAAAGAAAAAAUUGGUAUCUCGCUCGGUGUAUCCGGUGGCGUGGUCUCGCUUUCUACACUCUCAUUCUCUCAGUCUCGCCCUCUCAUCACCAACCUCUCUGUCCCGAGAAGAAGAAGUAGGAGAAAAAUCUCUCGCCCAAAAACGCCGUGCCGGGGAAGAAGAGGAAGUCGGAGAAUACGACCGUGCCGGAGAUGGAGAGACUAAAAAACGGCGCUGGAAGGAAAUGAAAAAAAAACAGAGAAGAAGAAAUUUGAGAAGUAGCACACCUUUUAAGUUACAAAAGUAACACACCUUCUAAGUUACAAAAGUAACACACCUUUUAUCAAAAAAAUAAUUCGUAAAAUUUUACUUUCUUUUAUCAAUUUCAGUUAACUUGACGCCGAGAAUCAGAGGUGUAAACUAUUUCGUUGGGAAAACAUUCGCAAUCUAAUUAAUCUUCCAAACCAACCCAAUUGAAUUUGAUUUAGGGUUUUUUUUUUUUUCCAACCCAAUGAUAAUUUAGCUUUUUGAAUCAUCAUUUUACCUUUUUUACCUUCAAACAAUCGUUUAGUUUGUAGACAAUCAGUUAACUUUCCAUACAAUAGUUUAAUAAAAUACGCAUAACUUAUUUUUAUUAAACAAUUAAUAAAAUAUAUAGUUUAAUAAAAUACGCAUAACUUAUUUUUAUUAAACAAUUAAUAAAAUAUAUAUUUUUUAAAUAUAGGUUGUAUUGAACUAAAAUUUCAACUACAACCCAAGACCCAAAGCAACCUGAAAAAAAACUAAAACUUUCAACUAAGUCCAACUCACAUUUUAAACUAAUCCAACUCAACCGGUAUAAUAUGGAAGGGGUGGUUCGGGUUGUUCCAUUAUUCAUGUUGGACUUACACCUCUACCAAGAAUCUUAACAUAAUUUUUCCAUCAUCUGGAUCGAGGUCAUGAUCAAAAUUAUAGGUUUUAGUUUUAAAAUUUUAAAAUAAAUGGUAUUCUCAAAUGACUAAAAUACUCUUAAAAGCCCACACGGUUUACUCCUAAAAUCAAGGAGGAAGAAAUAGAAAAUGUAAAAUAGAUGGACGCGAAGAAGAAAGAGAACGAAUUUUAAAAUAAAUAAAUAAAAUUUAGAAUGAUUUAAAAUUUGACUAUAAAUUUUCACAACCAAAAUUUAUUUUCUUAAUUAUGAAUUUUUAUACUUGUUCGACUAUUAUAAUCUUAUCAUCAUUAUUAAUUAUAUAUGUUAUUCAAAAUUAAUUUUAAAUCAUUUCUUUAUUAAUUCACAUUACUUUCAAUUUAUUAUGAAUUUAAUAACUUCCUUUACGGUAAUAAAUUAUAAAUAGUAUUUUAAUUAAGUAUAAAAUAAAAUCUUUCUAAUAUUGGAUAAAUUUUGAAUGAAUUAUAACAGUAUAACAUAUUAUUUUUACCACGUUAACAUUUUGAAAGCUUUCAUCCGACACUAGAAAACAUUUCAUCCUUCAAUUUUUUUCAUCUUUUCUUCCGGCAACAACUUGAAAUUUUCCACACCGUUUACUUCAUCCUUCAAUUUCGUUCCUUUCUUCCAUACAUUUUGGUGUCUUUAAUAUCGAUAUUCAUCAUUUUAUAUUUGGUUUUCGGUUUAUUUUGUCAUUUCGUUAGCACAUAUAUAAUAUUAUACAAUAAAUCAUUAGAAUUUUUCGCUUCGAUAACUUUUCAUUAUUAUUCUGUAGACUACAUCCUUCCGAAAUUAAUUUUAAAAUAUAUGUUUAUAUAGUAAAUAUUAUUAAAAUGUAGUAAACUAUAAUAUAGAGUGAGAAUAACUUACCUACUUAUUAUCACUUUAUAUAUUUUUUAAACUAACAAUGUAUAAUUUAAUAUAUGAGUAAAAUAUAAUAGUUUUUUUUAUGUGAUUUGUUAUAUGUAUAUCUCGUCUUAUUUACAAUAUUACUAUUUAAUAACAAAUGCUAUAAGUGAUGAAGGAAGUCACCUUUUAAAAGUAUUUUAUUUGUUUUGUUGGGUUUAGGUUAGGUAUAUGAAUAUGACAAUGGCACAACCUUUAAUUUCCAACCACAUUUCAUUUCUAUGAAGCUUCCUCUAUCCCAAGUCCACGUUGACUUGCAAAGACCACUUUGAUUUAUACCUAUCCUUUUGGAUUUUAGAUCUAAUUCUUCUCCAAAUCAUUAUUUGAGCAUUCUUUCUGAGAGAGAACCUUAGAAUUGCACAAUGGCUGAUUUCCUAUGGACUUUUGCUGUGGAAGAAACGUUGAAGAAGGUGUUGAAGGUUGCAGGGGAGCAAACUGGCCUAGCAUGGGGCUUCCAGGAACAUCUCUCCAACCUCCAAAAAUGGCUACUCAAGGCUGAAGCUUUCUUACGCGAUAUCAACAUGAGAAAAUUACAUCUUGAUUCUGUGAGGAUGUGGGUGGACGAUCUUCAACAUCUUGUUUAUCAAGCCGAUGAUCUAUUAGACGAAAUUGUUUAUGAAGAUCUUCGACAAAAGGUCCAAACAAGAAAAAUGAAGAAGGUGUGUGAUUUCUUUUCUCCUUCUACCAAUGUUUUGAUCUUUCGUCUUAACAUGGCAAAAAAAAUGAUGACUCUUAUAGCAUUGUUAGAAAAGCAUUACCUUGAGGCUGCUCCUUUAGGACUAGUGGGAAAUGAAAAUGCAAGUCCUGAGUUCGAUGUUAUUGGUCAAUAUCGAGAGACAAUUUCAGAACUCGAAGAUCAUAAGAUUGUGGGGAGGGAUGUUGAAGUUGAAAGUAUAGUGAAACAUGUGAUUGAUGCUAGCAAUAAUCAACUUACAUCUAUCCUACCCAUUGUUGGUAUGGGUGGAUUGGGAAAAACAACUUUGGCAAAGUUAGUUUUCAACCAUGAGUUGGUUAGACAACAUUUUGAUAAAACUGUUUGGGUUUGUGUCUCUGAACCAUUUAUUGUCAACAAGAUUUUGCUAGAUAUUUUACAAAAUCUAAAAGGCACCAUUUCUAAUGGAGGGGAUAGUAAGGAAGUUUUACUUCGUGAACUCCAAAAGAAGAUGCAUGGCCAAAGAUAUUUUCUUGUGCUUGACGAUGUUUGGAACGAAAAUUCUUUUCUAUGGGAUGAGUUGAAAUACUGUUUGCUCAAGAUCACUGGAAACUCUAAAAAUAGUAUUGUUGUGACUACAAGGAGUGCUGAAGUUGCAAAAAUCAUGGGAACAUGUUCUGGUCAUCUUUUAAGUAAAUUAUCUGAUGAUCAUUGUUGGUCCUUGUUUAAAGAAAGUGCAAAUGCAUAUGGAUUAUCAAUGACUUCAAACUUGGAGAUCAUUCAAAAAGAGUUAGUCAAAAAAAUUGGUGGUAUACCAUUGGCUGCACGAGUUUUGGGAAGGGCAGUAAAAUUUGAAGGAGAUGUUGAGAGAUGGGAGGAAAUGUUGAAAAAUGUGUUAAGCACUCCACUCAAAGAGGAAAAUUUUAUUUUGUCUAUAUUAAAAUUAAGUGUGGAUCGUCUACCGUCAUCUGCAUUAAAGCAAUGUUUUUCAUAUUGUUCAAUUUUUCCCAAGGAUUUUGUGUUUGAAAAACAAGAACUAAUUCACAUGUGGAUGGCACAAGGUUUUCUUCAACCACAAGAAGGAAGGAACAUGACAAUGGAAACUGUAGGAGACAUAUACUUCAAGAUCUUGUUGUCACACUGCUUAUUUGAAGAUGCCCAUGAAACAAAGACAGAGGAAUAUGAGAUACCUGAUCUGCUUGAAUUUGAAACAAGGCCAGAAGAAUAUAAGAUGCAUGAUCUUGUACAUGAUAUUGCGAUAGAAAUUUCAAGAGAUCAAAAUUUGCAACUAAAUCCUAGCAAUAUAUCAAAGAAGGAACUUCAAAAGGAGAUUAAAAAGGUUGCAUGCAAGUUACCCAUGGUUGAUUUCAUUCGACGGAUUCCUUGCAAUAUAGGCCAACUAACAUUUUUUGAUGUUGAGAUAAGGAACUUUGUUUGUUUGCGAGUUUUAAAGCUAUCAACGCUGCCUAGUGAUAAGUUACCGAAGUCAAUUGGUCAAUUGAAACACUUGAGAUAUCUAGAAAUUGCAUGUUAUUUAGGUAGAUUAAAAUUUCCAGAGUCUAUUGUUUCUCUUCAUAAUUUGCAAACACUAAAGUUUCUAUACUCAUACGUUGAAAAAUUUCCGAUGAACUUUACAAAUUUGGUAAGCUUAAGGCACUUGAAAUUAUGGUCAAAUGUUGACCAAACGCCUCCACAUUUAAGUCAAUUAACUCAACUUCAGACAUUGUCUCAUUUUGUGAUCGGGUUUGAAGAAGGUUGUAAAAUUACUGAAUUGGGUCCAUUGAAAAACUUGCAAGGUUGUUUGAGUCUUUUGUGUUUGGAGAAAGUUGAAAGCAAAGAGGAAGCCAAUGGAACAAACUUGGCAGAAAAGGAGAAGUUAAAAGAUCUACACUUAAGUUGGUCCAAUGAAAGAAAAGAUAACAACAAUUACAAUGAUUUGGAAGUGUUGGAAGGACUUCAACCAAACCAAAAUCUACAAUCAUUAGGAAUCUACAACUUUGCAGAAAGACGUUUGCCUAACAAGAUUUUUGUUGAAAAUUUAAGCGUGAUAGGUUUGUAUGGUUGUAAUAAUUGUGAAAAGCUUCCAAUGCUUGGACAAUUAAACAACCUAAAGAAACUUGAGAUUUACAGCUUCCAUGGCGUCCAAAUUAUAGACAACGAGUUCUAUGGUAAUGAUCUAAACCAAAGAAGGUUCUUCCCAAAGCUUGAGAUAUUUGUAAUGUGUGAUAUGAUCAACUUAGAGCAAUGGAAAGAAGUAAUGACAAAUGAUGCAUCAUCAAAUGUUACAAUCUUUUCCAAUCUUAAAUGCUUGGAAAUACGUGGAUGUCCCAAAUUAACAAAACUUCCAAAUGGACUACACUUUUGUAGCUCCAUUCGACGUGUGACAAUAAACCAAGGUUCAAAUUUGAGCAUAAAUAUGAGAAAUAAGCCGAAAUUAUGGUAUUUAAACAUUGGUCCAUUAGAUAAACUGCCUGAAGAUUUAUGUCAUCUAAUGAAUUUGGGGGUAAUGAGAAUUGUUGGAAAUAUGCAAAAUUAUGAUUUUGGCAUCCUUCAGCACCUUCUUUCCCUUAAAAAAAUUACUUUAGUCGAGGAUGAGUUGAGCAACAAUAGUGUAACACAAAUUUCUGAACAACUUCAACACCUCACUGCCUUGGAAUUUCUGUCCAUUGAAAAUUUUGGAGGCAUUGAAGCUUUGCCAGAAUGGUUAGGAAACUUUGUAUGUUUGCAAACACUCAGUCUUUAUAACUGCAAAAAUUUGAAAAAACUGCCUUCUACAAAAGCAAUGCUACGUCUCACUAAAUUAAAUCAAUUGUAUGCUUGCAAAUGUCCGAUGCUACUACUCGAAGAAGGUGAUCCAGAGCGAGCAAAACUUUCCCACUUUCCAAACAUGUUGGUUCAGCGCAACGGUUAUCAGAAGUGUAUUUAGAUUUUUUCGUUUUUUUUUGCACUCUUGAAAGCAAAUGUGUACUAAAGUUUUCAAAACAGACUUGUAUUAUUAUUAUAUGCUCCAACCACUUGAUACUCUCAAUAUACAUUUCAUCCACUAAAAAGUGGUCAUGCAUACAAAGUAGGAAAAUUAUGUGAUAGUUUAAAUAUCUUAUCAAUUUUUCUAUAAGUUAACUACCUAAUUUAAUAAUUAUUUUCUAAAUAAUUAAUUUUUUUUUCAAAAGUUGUAAACUUUUUAAAAUUUCCACUUGUUUUUUUAGUUUUCAAAUUUUGAUUUGUUUUCUAAAAAGACAGAGAUAAAAAGGAGACAUGAAAGUAAGAAUGUAGUGGUAUAAAAGAUAUUUAUGAAUCUAAUUUUUGGAAAAGAAUAAAAUAGUUACCAAACCAAACUUUAGUUUAUAAAAUAUCUAUGUGAAAAAUCUUGUCAAAUUAACUAUAAAUUUUGAAAUUGCAAUUUAGAUAAGGUACGAGAAUGUCACAAUAUUUAUAAAAUUUGAAAUAAUAGAGAUUAAAGUACGAAAAUUGAUGAAAGAAUGUAUUUACAAAAUAGAGCAAAUUUUCAAAUUAUAUUCCUGAUGGACAUCAAUAAACAAAUUAAGAAAGAAAAUUUUGAUUCUAAAACCUAAACAAAUUAACAACGAAAAACAUUAUAAAAAGUGAUUUUUGUUUUAGUGACGAGCAGAACAGCCAUUUUCAUUUUCAAGUAAUGUUAUGUAUUAAUCAAUAUUUAUUGAUUGGUAUCGAUAAAAAAGAUUGGUAUAAGUCACUUCGUUUCUUUUCGUCCAAGUUACUUGUUUUUUUGUCCAAGUUUCUUCUCUUUUUGUCUAAACUCACUUCCUUUUUCCUUUGUAAGUUUCGGGAAUAUCCUCAUUCAUAGGUCUGAUGAUCCACAUCUAUGAAUUGAAAGGGCUUGACCAAUAGAUGGCGGUGACGGCUGCAUUUUGCCUCAGUAUAAGUAGAAGUUGUGAGGGAGAAGAAGAAAGCCAAAAGUGAGGGGGAAGGAGAAAGCCGAAAGUGAGGGAGAAGUAGAAAGUCCAAAGUGGGGAUCAACUCUUUGUCCCCUAAUCUCAUUUUUUUUUACAAAUGAAAAUAUUUUUCAUUGGUUUUAUUCUCGAAUGAAAUUUAAAUAAUAUACUAUUUCAAAACAUGACUUAAAAACAAUAAAUUCACUUGGCAACUACUUUUUUAUAAAUUAAUUAUGUAAAUUAAAUUUAGUUGAAUUUAAUACAUGUUAUUACACAAAAUUGUGAUAUCACACAAUUUAACAAGUCCUUUAUUUAUUAUAUCAAAUCUAAGAUUUUGAGCUAUACAAAACCAAAAUUUGCAUUCCAAGCCAUUCUUCUUCCUCAAAUAUAAAAUCCUUGAACCGACUACUAUACAUUCUGAUUUGGAAUUUCUACUCAUGAAAUCAAAUUUCAUUAUAGGAUGCAAUGGUUUCAUAUAAUCCAAAUAAGCCAAAAUGUGCCCUUUGAUGAUUCACCAAAUCCACUCUCCUUCUGUAUUGAGCAGCAUCAUUUGGUCCUUUUCCAAAAAGAUUUCAACUUCCAGAGGGGCUCACAACUCUUAUGUAAAAAUCAAUAUCUAAUCUAAUCAUAAGCCUUCCGUAGAUGGCCUAAGCCUAAACAAUUCAGGAUUCAAGGAUAUGACCAUAACAAAAAUUUACUCAGCCAAAAGCUAAAUGUGAUCGAUAAGCUUAAUCAGGCAAGAACUAACGGACAAACUAAAUUGAACACAAAAUGUGAGAAAGCCAAGACAAAGUACAAUGAUCUCAUAAUUUUACAACCAACAUCAGCAGUCAAGCAAGCCUGUUCAGAAGGUUUCUAAGAGAAAAAGGUUUCAGGCAUCCAAGGAAGGAAUAAAGCAGCAUUAGCUCUCAAGCCUGGCGAAGGCGAAAGCUCUUAGGCGGCCACUGCGAAUGUUCUGAGAAACAAGCCUUCGGAAUUGUCAUCAUCAACACGCAAUCCAAAUCAUUCAAACAACAAAACAUGGUGCAAAUUUUAACUAAAUUCAAGUAUAUAAAAAGAAUUUAAAGAGCUCAGACAUCCAAGGAAGGAUAAAGCAGCAAUAGCUCUCAAGCCCGGCGAAGGCGAAAGCUCUUAGACGGCCACUGCGAAUGUUUUGAGAAACAAGCCUUAGAGAUAUCAUCAUUGUUCGCACAAGAUUCAGAUAAAAACACAAUCGAACUGAUAAUACGAAUCAAGCAAAUUGAAGAAAGUGCUCAGACAGCCAAGGGUAUAUCAAUCAGAUACCGGGAAUAAUACCCAGAUCAGAAACUCUAGUCCACAAAAAAUAGCAUCGUCACAGCACUUGAACGAACAUAUACAUAUAUAUAAUAAAAAAAAAUAUGAAACAGAAGAUAAGGAUUGAAUGAAGUUGAAAAGGGGGAAAAAUUAAAAGUUUUAGAAUUAAAAACUAGGAAACGGAGGAAACGAUGAAGAAUGCACCAAAAUAAACUGUUCGUGAAGAGAUGAAAACGAAGAGUGGUGGAAUGGAGGAGUAGGGAUGGUGAGUUUAUAGGGCAUCGACUGAUAAAUUAGGGUUUUUGUGGAAGAUGGUUUAGGGUUUCUUUGAUGAUUGUAUCGGCCUCAACUCAUGGGCUGGGCCUCAAACGUAAUAAUACUCAGUACCACCCAUUUGUUUCACUGUUUUUAUGUUUAUAGUGGCAUUAGAAGAUAUAAUUGAGAAUUAGAUUCACAUUAUUAAAAUUAAAAAUAUUACAAAAUUGAUCAUAAUCUAAUUUUCUAUUUUACAAUCUUGCUAUUCUCAUGGUUAUUAUCCAUAGAAUUGCUUCAACCUUUUUAGUAAUGUAAUUUAAUUAGAUAUUGAGAAAAAAAAAAUGAAGGUUUUUACGUAUGAUCUAUUCUUAUAAAAACAUGAACUGAAUUAUAACUUGUUUCAAAAUUUUCAUAAAAUAACAUCAAACUCAAAAGCUUUUCUAGGAUGGUUCCAUUUCAAAAAAUAUUCAAUCCAACUCAUUUUUUUGUAAACCUUUUUUAUGACAUUAUUAAACAUUUUUAUGAUAUUAUAUAUGUCAUUCUCUUUGACGACCCCUUUAGCCUUUAGCAAUCGUAUUCAAUGUAACACCAACAUUUCACCAAAGCAUUCAUUCCGACUAAUAUUUUACCAACAAUAUGGAAUGUUAUUGAUUUUAUCAAAAAAUGAGACAAGGAAAGUCACUGUUAGAUAUUCAAUUGCAUUCUUAUUCUCUACUCUUCACUUUUUCUCCAAUCGUUUUCUCUCAGAGUUUCAGGUGCACAUUAUAUUUGUCCAUUGCUUUCAUUUUUGUUUAGUUCCAGACAAACGAUCACUAUAACCAAACGGAGAGAAUGCCUAUUCUUUUACAAUGUAGGUUUUUUCCAAACUCACUCUAAAAAAAAUGGAAGAUCGCCCAAAUAAACUUAAGUGAUGCCUUAAAGAAUACUAAAAUAUCAUUUAAGUUUAUAUGGACAAUCGUUCAUAAAUAACUGAACAAUCAUGCAGAAAAACCUAGGCAGUCGUUUACUAAAAUCUUUGUGAUUAUUUAUGUGGGUUGGACGAUUGCUCGAUAUUUAUGGCAACGUUGCUUCACAUAUUUGUACAAUUUGGUGGAAAAUGAGACAAGUUUAGAAGCAACUAUGUUAGAGGUAAGAUGAAAGGCUUGAAAGUCAUAAAUGAUAUAUAACGUGCACUGAAUUUGUGAGUAUUAUGCACCAACGACUGAAUAUCAAUUCGAAUAUGUUUCAUAUAUACAUAUCAAGUGUGUUAUUACGAUCUAUUACUUCCAGCUCUCCUAAUUGAAAUAAUUGAUGAUGAAGAUCUUAGCUUUUUCUAGAAGGAAGUGAUGCAUCCAAAUGUCGUUGUUCGUAUCAGUAACACCAAAAUAAAAUGUAGAAUAGAUACAAGAGAUAUGUACUAGCACGAUAAUCAGACGAUUCCAAUAGUUUCAUCACACAUGAUAUUCUCAAUAUGUCUCAAUGUAUGAUAAUAUUGUACCAUGUAACUUGGGUAUCGAGAGAAAUGGAUCUUGUGAUGGUCACAACAUCCAAUCAAGAUGCAUCACAGUUUGAUGGCAAUGAAUAUGGUCAACAUUCACGUCCACAAACAUUUCCAUCAAAUUGACUACACCAAACUUCAUUUCACUUUAGUACAUAUCAAUCCACUAUGUCAACCCAAACCAUUUGUAGAUAUAUCAUAAUAAUUAGAAGGUCAUAUUGUGAUGACAUCAUUUUAAUCCCUCGUGAUUUUCUCGAUGAAAAAGAUAUAAGGGUUGAUCAAAUUUUCUUUUUGAAUUUAAGCAUAAUUUAUCAAUUAAAUUGUUAAAUACUCACAAUAAGAAAGAACUUUGAUUACCGUGUAAAGAAGCCAACGAAAAGCUUGCUAACCAUACAUUGUUUGAUUGGAGGAAUGCAAUGGGAGUUUGUGCUAGUAGAUUGUAAGGGAGUGAUUCAUUCAAAGUGAUGAAGUACCAAAGCGACCAUGCAUAGUUCUUUUAAAAUUAGAUUGAGUAAUCAUCGACAAGCAAAAAAUUGGGUUAUUGGACACAUAAACAAGCAAUAUAUUAUCGUGUUACUUUCUUUGACAGGAAUAUAUAUAUUUCUGUCUUGAGACUUGUAAGAUGAAUCUUGAGUGCGUACAGGUCCACCUAAGUAUUUGAGGUAUUGCUGCUUACUUACUCUUGGUGACUAUGAACUUAUUGGGAGUUGAUACGCUAAUGUAACCUUUAUAACGUCUUUAAUCUCUGAACAUGUUUUCAUCUUUCUCCUUAAGGUACCUUGGUUCAAGAAUGAGCUCUUGUAGCCUUUUACCGCAUGUGUCCCUUUCUAUAGUUAACUCGGUCAGCCACAACUCAAUUAUCAAAUAAAUAUCUUCUUGAGUGAAGGUUACUCUUUCUACCCCAAUAUAUUGAACCUUUGUAACAUCCCAUCUCCUGUCUUUUACCUCCCUUAACAAGAAAUGGUGGAACAAAAUAUGUUUUCCUAAACAUUUCCAUAUGGUCUAUGGUAUAUUUAUUCUUAAUCACAGGGAAUUUUUUAGACUUGGCAAGAAACGGUAGCACGGAAAUAUUUCUCUUCAGAGAUAGCCAUUUAGAAAACUAUAAUAUACAUUUUAGUAAUUAAUUAAAUAUUUAAUCAAUAUUUUGAUGAAAAAAAUCUGAAUUUUUAUUGACAAUUUUAUUAUUUUGAAUAAUCCAUAACUUAAAGAACUUGAAAUGAUUCUGAUACCUCUUGAAACAUCCAAAUCAGAGUUCAAAUAAAAAAAUAUGGCUAAAAGAUGGUGAUGUGACAGCCAAAUAAUCAAAUCAAACCAAUUAGAGAAAACGGGAGGAGUAACACAAGUAGCUUUUGUUCCUUUUUAAUUGGCUUUUAAAAUGAAAAUAAAUUUAAUAUUAUUAUUUAUCUUAAUUUUUUAAAGUGAUGGUGAACUUGUUUUUAUUGCGUUUUAAAACAAAUUAUUUUUUAAAAAAUAUAUUAUUAUAUUAUUGUUUGUGUUUGUGUUCAACGACUUAAAUCUCAAUCAUUUAAUUUUCUUUUACUUACGUUGAAUGACCCAAAUUAAUUUUAAAUUUCAAUAUCUUUUCCAUCUUCUUAAAUUCUUCAUUUUUCCCAAAAUCUAAUUGACUUCAUCUUGAGUACGAAAAUUAUUGUUACAUACUAUUUUAUCACUCUUGUUAUUUAACAUAAAUUAGUUUUUUUUUUUUUUUUUUACUUUUUCACUCCCCAUCUAGGGUUACCAUGUGAGUCUAACAGUUAGUUAGUAGAAGAUAUGGUGCAUGGAGAAAGGUUAGAAAUGGUAAAUGAGGUAAAUUGUGAACUUAUGGAUAUGAUGAAAUGCCAUUACUCUAUGCUUCAAAGGAAUAGCAUUCACCUUGUAACUCAGAUGAUGAAAGGAAUCAUGAAAGAUGGUUUGAGUUUAAAGUAUUUGAGAAAGAGAGAGAACAUUUUUAUUGGGUAUGGUUUUGUUGAUUUUUUUUGCUGUGGAAUAUAAUAAUUUUAUGGAUAAUUAAUUGAUUAUUUAAUUAUUUAAUAAAAGUUAUUAUUUUAUUGUAUAAUAAUAUAUGCAUGAUUAUGUUAUUAUAUUUUAAAUGUUCAUAAUCGAUUAUUAUGAUAAAUUAAGAUUAGUAUGAGCUAUAUAAUUGAUAAUCAUGGGAUGAUUAUAUAUGUAGAGACAUAAAUUAUAAUAAUAUUUUCUCAUUAGAAAAUAUGAAUUAGACUAACCUCUUUUGAGAUUAUUAUAUGGACAUGUGUCAUAAAUAAUUGAUUGUUUUGAUCCUUAGACCUGAGAAUAUCAUAGUGUGAAAUAUAAGAAUUAAUCUAUCUGAUGGAAUCAAACGUUAUCUUUAAUCGAAUAAUUAUAAAGGUUAUACUAGAAUACGUUAUGAAUUAUGUAGUUGACAAUAAUUAAUCAAUAUGGAAUUUAUCCCUCUUAUUAUAGAGAGAUAUUUCUAGCCCAUCGAUUAAAUGUGAUCGUGGAAAUGCAUAAUCGUACUAUAAAUGAAUUAAUAAGGGUAUUAAUAUCAUUUAUUAUUUCAAUAUGCUUAUUGAUCGAGAAAGCAAUUGAAUUAGAUUAAGUAAAUUUGUCUAUGCCUUAUAUUAAAAUUAUAGAUAUCGCGUGAUAAAAUAAUUAAAACAAUAAUUAUAUUAGGAUAUGUUGAAUCACUAACUUAAUUUAAUAAAAGUAACUAUAAUGUCUUGCUAGAGACCAAUUAUGGCUUAUGGACGAGUAAUGAGCCAAUUGUCUUAUUAAGUUAACCUAAUAGGUCGCACAUGAAAGAACUGAGUCAAAUUUGUCGUAAUUAAUAAAUACAAUUGGAGAUUUGCCAUACUAUUAGAAAACAUAAUUAAUAAGUCCAAUUGGAGAACUGAAAGCUUAUUAGAAAUCCUAGGCUUAUUAGGAAACUUCAAGAAGUCUAUAAAUACGACCUUAUGAGUCUUAUUUUACAUACAAGCAAAGACAUAAAACUCGUUCAAAAUAGAAAGAGUCAAAAUUUUCACUUUGUGAGGUUCUAACCUUCGAGGAGUCGAAUUCCCAAUUCGUGUGUGGAUACUGUUAGAGAGCGCAUUUGAUUUUGCAUUGUUUUGGUGAUACGAAUUGGAACAUUGUUCUUAUCAAGAACAUAUAACAAAAUUUUCAGACUUUAUCAAUAAUAGACAUUGAUAUACUUCUAUUAGUGAUAUUGAUAGAAGUCUAUCAAUAAAUAUUAUUGAUAAAAUGCAAAAUUUUGGUAUAGCUCGUAAAUAUUUUAAUUUAUUUUGCUAUAUUUAAAAAUGUCAUUUUUUUAUAAAAAUAAAUAGAUAAAGAUAUUUGAUAUUCUCUAUAACAUUUAAUGAUUUAUAAUUUAAUUAAUAAUAUUACAUUUGAUUUUAAAAUGAUAAAAUUAUCCAUUAUGAGAAAGGUGAGAAACGAAAGGUAAAAUUGUGAAAAAAAAGUUUCUCCUAACAGCUAUAUAUAUAAAUAAAAGAAAAAGGUUUCCACACGAUUCGAGCGCGCAACCCACCUCUCUCGAACUUCUCUUCCGCUCACCAUCUCUCUCUCGCACGCCGGUCACGGCGUAGCUCAACGCGGCCGAAAUCCCUAACCCACCGAUUCUCCCUCUUUCUCCACCGAUAUUUCUCUCUUCUCUUAUCAACCACCAACUUUCCAUUUAUCGGAGUUCGUUCGACGCAUUUGACACCGUCAGCCUCGAGGUCGGAUCUGUCUCUCUCUUCUAGUUCGCUUUCCUCAUACAUCGUGCCAUUCAACAUCAUCCAACUUCGAUUUCACGAUUUCACUGUCCCCUACUGCCGCCUUCGCUAAGUCUAGAAGUUUUGGUAAGCUUGGUAACAUCUCGUUGUUUAAUUAGAAGUGUUUCGAAUACCUAUUAAGUUUCGGCUUGAUUCAUUGUUUAAUUAGAAGAGUUUCGAAUAUCCAUUAAGUUUCGGCUUGAUUUCCAUACUACUUUCCUUGUCGCAUGAUAGUGGAUGCUUGAUUUUGAAUUUAGAAGGUAGUUAGAAUAUUGUCCAUUGAAGUUAAGAGUAUUUGCUAAGUUCUUGGUAAGGUUUGGAGUAACUUUAGAGAUCUUGAAUGCCCAUUAAGUUUAUUUGUUACAGUUGAAUUAGCCAUGGUACUCCGGUCCUAGAGUUGAAUGUUUUUUUUAUAUCCGUGAAUGUCCGGGCCAGCUCACGCACCUUGAUUAAUCUCACGGGACAGCCACUGACUCUACAAUAUUUGAGUGUCAAGGAAAGCGGUAGGAAAUUAAUUCGUAGGUAGGUGGUCACCAUGGAUUAAAUCCACGACGGAUGUGAUCUCUCUUCUUUCCUUACUCAGGUGGUUCAUUGUUAGAGAGGGGAGGAGAGAUGCACAUGUUUGGAUUCCUAAUCCUAGUCAGGGAUUUUAUUGUGAUUCUUUGUUUUGAUUGUUGUUGGAUCCCACUCCCCCUUCGGUCUUUGAUGUGGCUACGAGGACUAAGAUUCUGAAGAAAGUUAGGUUUUUUAUUUGGCUGGUCUUGCUUGGCCAGGUUAACAUUGUUAAUAGGUUUGUUAGGAGGACUUCACUUGUCGGGCCUUCUUGUUGUUUGCUGUGUCGAAUGGCGGAGGAAGAUCUUGAUCACCUUUUCUGAGAUUGCCAUUUUGCAAGGGCUGUAUGGUGCUCCUUUCUUCAUGAGUUCAGUUUUAGCUUUGCCAGCUCAAGGAGUGUUAGAGUGACAAUUGAGGAGUUCCUUUCUCCAUUCACUUUUUGGUGAUGAGGGUGGCUUUUUAUGCACUAUUAUUUGUGAUAUUUGGAGCGAGAGGAAUGAUACAGUGUUUAGGGGUAGAGAGAGGGGAAUAGUGAGAUUUGUUCUUUGCCUAGAUUUCAAGUGUCUCUUUGGACUUUGGUUGCAAAGAACUUUUGUAGCUAUUCUAUAGGUAAUAUUUUACUUAUUUGGUCCCCCUUCCUUUAAAAGGGUGGUUUUGUGGGCUGGUUUUUUUUUGUAUGCCCUUGUGUUCUUUCAUUCUUUUUCAAUGAAAGUUGUUUUUAUCAAAAAAUGCGUGUGGGGACCAUGGAGAGGUUUUAGUAGGGUUUUAAGGAUUAGUGUGAGGGCAGAGUGUUUUGGAAGGAACGAGAGAUCAGUAGAGGAAUGACAACUUUCUUGAACAGCCAGGGACCUUAAGUAUUCUUGUGUUUCUUGAUCUUCUUGCUUGUAUUUGUUAUUCUUGCUAUUUCCCUCGUAAUCAUUGGAACCCAUGGUUAUUUGAUGUUUGACAGUAAUUGCAAUACUAAUACAUAGGGUGGAAGCUAAUUCCCCGUUCUUGGAUUGUGGUGUAUUUUUUAUUUGUAGGAACUUAGGUACCUAACAGAGUCUUUGUGUUUCAUUGUGCUUGUCGAAUUUGUUGGGUGGUUUCAAUUAUGACGAAUGAUAAUGAUUGAGAAAUGAUAUUGUUAGGUUGAAUGGAAGAAUCAGAAAAACGAAGGGAGAGGCUGAGAGCAAUGCGAAUGGAAGCUGCUCAGGCUGAUGUAGCUAAUUAUGUCGAAACUUCUCUGCCUAAUCAUCUGUCUAAUCCAUUGGUUGAAUCAUCAGCUACCAUGGUAGGGCAAUUAGCACCAUGUACGGCCCCAAGAUUUGACUAUUACACAAAUCCUAUGGCUGCAUUUUCUACUAGUAAGAAGAAAGGGAAGAUUGAGAAUCAACCUGUGUCUGAUAAUUUUGUUCCUUACCACCACAACACUUCUUCAACAACUUAUUUUCCACCAACUUUUCCAGGUAAUUUUUUGUUUUCUUAAAUUACUUGUGCAUAAAAAUAUAUGAAGGGUCGUAUAAUGGGAAUAAGAUACUGAGUUACUUGUUUGUUAAUGGAUGUUUGAUUUUAAAAAUGUCGAAUUGCAAAUAGAGGGAUCAAAUAUGGUAUAAUGUGUCGGAUAAUUAUGUUUCCUCUCCAUAGAAACAUGUUACAGAAAAAAUAACUUCCCUAUGAAUAAAGUUACGUAAUCUAUUAACAAAAACUAGUGAAAGGUCCUCCAACUUGAGGUUGUAAAAUGAACUAAGUCACAAAUUCCUUUGAUUUUAGCUUUCCUCUUUAAUAUGGUUUGGUGCCAAAAAAGAUAAGUCAAAUGAUCCAUACGGAUAAGAUUAACACUGGUAGUAUACUGACAAUGAAGGCAGUAUUGAAUUGCUGUAAUUUUGCAUGGCACGUUGACAAAUUUCAAGGGUGGGACACUAUUGCUUGAGCGAGUGUGAGUUUGUUGAUAGUGUGGUGUUACUUUUUUAGAUGGUACAUCUUUUCACUAGGAAGGGUUAUUUGAUUGAACUUUAUCGUUCAACAGCUAACGGUAACUUACUAGGAGCUUAAGGGUCUACUUUUUAGAGCUUUUAGGUUUUAGAAAUGGUUAUCGAGUGAUGCUAUUAGGAAGCGGAAGUGUUUUUGGUCUAGAGCAAUUAACAAAAAACCUGUGUCAUGGAGCCAAGCCAUUAAGCUUUUGAUAUGCCUCUAUUACUGCAGUAAAGACGGGCUAUGCUUUCAAAACCCGAGAAACCAACAGGACAUUUGUAAUUUUACUUGCAUGUUUCAAUAAAAUAAGGUAGAAAGAAAAGAAAUUUACAGGCUAUAUGUUUCAAUGGAGACAGUCCUUAACUAUAUUUUGAAGAAAGUAGAGAUUUAUUUCCUGUUGUAUCCCAUACCUAUACUCCCUACAUGAAGUGUCAAAGCAAAUUCCCACAAAUAAGGUGGCUUGGCUGCACUCUUGUUGGACAUCCCCGUAGCAAAUUGUGCAUUGCUUUCUCAAUCAAAGCUGUUGGAUUGGAAUGUAUUCUAAGAGAUGCAUCAUACUUUAGGGGGAUUUGCAGUUCUUAGAGAUACAUAACUUGCAAGAAAUUUAAUGAUAAAAGUUAAAUCUCUCCUUUACAGCUUCUUAUUUGUUUGAUUAACUAAUAUUAAAUGUCACAGAUAUUAAAAAUUUAAUUAGUGUCUCGGAAUAAAUGUUUUUGUCUGUUUCACAAGCUUUCCUUGGGGGAAUCAAUUUUGUUUAUAACAGAAAUGCACAUCACUCUCUCUAUGCUCGUGUAGUUUGAUUAUAGUUCCUAAUUCCUCGCUAUGGUUUGAUGUCAUACCAUCGUGGAAGCUGUAAUAUUUCCUUCGUAUUGAGUUAAUAUGUGAUGUUAUUGGUGGAAUUAGGAAGAAUCCCUUCUGGUGUUCAGUUAUCAUUUUUGUUAAUGCUUUUUAAUUGCAUUUGGUUCCCAUCCUCGGUGUGGUCUUUCAUCCAACGUAUGGUAGUUUGGGAAUCACUUUUCUCCUUCAAGUAUAAAUAUACUAUUGUGUUGUAGGAUUGGGAAACCCUGAAAUGUCUCCCUCUUCUACUCAUCAAAUCCAUCAAAUAUUCACUUGACCAGAGAACUUUCUAUGCACUAGGUGAUAGUGAAGCUGGUGGCCAUGGUAGACCAGGAAUGCCUAGACCUUAUGCUGUGAAUCAAGGAGAUCUACAUAUGUGGCGUGGACCGAGAGGACCAUUUGUCAACCAGUUCCCUACCCAGCCACCGAGGGAGAUGAACUCCCCCAGCCAUGUAUCUGGACCAAGAGGCAACCCUUACACUAAUCCUACUCAAAACAGGGCUAAUUACCGUAGUUCAAGCCCUAACCCUGGGUUCCGAGGCAGUUUUAGUCCAGGUAGAGGCAGCUAUGGACAUCAUGGCAAUAUGACUCCUAGUCCAAGAUUUGGCUAUGGACGAGCUACUGGUUCUCAUGGUCGUCAUUCUUCAUCAGACAAAUCUGGACCAGAACAAUUUUACAACAUCUCCAUGCUUGAAGAUCCCUGGAAGGUUCUGCAACCUUGUAUUUGGACGACAAUUGCUCCAUUGAGUAACUCUGCAAAACCUUCGGAAUAUUGGAUUUCCAAGUUUGGUACAAAGAAAGCAAGAGUUUCAGAUUCCUCUUCUAGCAGGUCAAGCUCUCAACAACCUAGCCUCGCCGAGUACCUGGCUGCCUCCUUCAAGGAAGCAAUCGAGGAAGCACCAAAUGCGUGAAACAUUUUAUUCAGGCAUUUCAUGCUUACUGUAGUACUCAAGUUCAGCUUUGUCGAAAGCCCAGCCUAAUUUUUCUCUAUAGACUGGUUUGAUGUUGUAAAUCUAUAGUGAUUAUUAUGACAGUUCUGUCUCUAUGUUAUGUUUAGUUAGUGAUGUUUUUUUAUGAAUCUUGUUUAGAUUAUGUACAUGAUUCAGCCUCUAUUAGAAUCCUUGUUGUCAAAUGCUCUUCUUUGUUAAGAAUUUAAUAGGAUUGAGUUCUCAAUUCUCGUAGUUGAUCCACUAUAUAAUACUUAAAUUUAAUAGGAUUGAGUUCUCAAUUCUCUUAUUUGAAUAGAUUGAUUUCUUUUUGCCUAUGUAAUUGAGUCUUGUUCCUACCCUCUCUAUCUUCCCGUAAUGUUUGUUUUUUCACCUACAACUACUGUUAGUAGUUACUGAAAAUUAUAAUUUGUUUUUCAAACUAUGUUAAAUGAAGGGAAAUUAUUUUACUUUGGUGCAUUCUUUAACAUUUCCCACCUCCUCGAUUCCACCAUUCUUGGUUUUCAUCUCUUCAUAAACAUUUGAUUUUGGUGCAUUCUUUAUCAUUUCGUACGUUUUAUAGUUUUUAAUUUAAUUAAAAAAGCUUUCAUUUUUCUCCCCCCUUCAACCUCAUUCAAUCCUGAUCUUCUGUUUCGUGUUUUCUGUUAUAUAUAUAUAUAUAUGUUCGUUCAAGUGCUGUGAUGAUGCUAUAUUUUAUGGACUAGAGUUUCCGAUCUGGGUAUUAUUCCCGGUAUCUGAUUGGUAUACCCUUGGCUGUCUUAGCACUUCCUUGAUUCGUAUCAUCAUCUUGAUUGUCUUUUUAUCUGAAUCUUGUGCAAACAAUGAUGGUAUUCUUUAAGGCUUGUUUCUCAAAGCAUUCGCAGUGGCCGCUUAAGAGCUUUUGCCUUCGUCGGGCUUGAGAGCUAUUGCUGCUUUAUCAUUCUUUAGAUGUCUGAGUUCUUUAAAUAUACGUUGUCCACUAAUGGUGUGUUAGCUAACGUUCAUAGUUCCACAAAGAGAGCAAUAUAAUAAGAAAGAAUGUUCUUUGACUAUAAAAGAUGUCAUUAGGUUAAAUAGUUUAUAUAUCGUGCUUCUCUCUAAACUCAAAAGCGUAAAUAACCAUAAAUAAUAGAAAAAGAUGAAAUUCUACCGUAAAUGUGAAAUAGAUAAAAAUUGAGUUACUCGAUAAAUGUGUAAACUUUAAUGCUGAUCUUAUUAUUGAAGUCGAGUUGUUUAACACCAAUUUAGAAGCCGAUAGAUCAAACAAUCCCCAAGUUCCAAAACUGAACAAUCAUGUUUCUAAGUUUGCCUAAAGAAAAAAUCAAUCUCUCGUCCAUAGUUGUUGAAAGAAAAUUCAAGAAAUUUCAAUUCUCUGAUUGAAAACAACGUUAAAUUUCCUCGUCUCUUACAUUUUUUUUUGUUCUCACCAAAACUCAUUAUAUCUCUUUCAAUUUCCCAAAAAUAAAUACGAUUGUGGAGAUGAGAAUUAUGUACUUGUUGUACGGUCUUGUCAAUGAUCACUGCAUAGUUUCAAAAAAAUGAUUUCCUUUUCCUACUUUUAAGUUAUUUAAGUUAUAGGUUUUCGAGGCCUCUACAAAUUGUUUAGAAAAAAUAAUUGAUUAUUACAAAAUGUGUGCUAUAACAAUUUGAAUAUAAAACUUUAAAUGCAAACUAUUUUAGUUUUAUACUAAUAUGUGAUAGAAUUAUAGACUAAAAUAGUUUGUAUUUUAGGUGUAAAGUAUCGGAGUAUAAGUUAUGAUAGUUUUUAUGUUCAUCGUCCGGGGUGUGAUUUAUUUUAGUUUAUUUAUUUGCGAGUGUUCGAGUAAGUUUACAAGUAUUUUAACUAAUUUUACGAGACAACUUGUUUGACUCUACAACACUUGUGUUGUUAUCUUAAAAGAAUAUUGAUGAUAAACUUACAAGAUAUCAUAGAUAGUAAAAGAAAAUUGUAAAGAGGAAAAAAUCAAUGUUUUGACCAACUUCUAAUUAGAAACUUUAGAGGAGAUUUUGUUUCUUUGUUUGAGGUGGUUUAAUCUUUAAUCUAAAAUUUUGAAACAAUGUUUUAUCUUCUUAGUUUGAACCGAUUCAAUUCUAAGUCGACCCAAGCUUGAUUUAUCGGUGCAAAAAUUUGCACAUGUGGAUCCUCGAUGGUAGCCACUUCACAUUUGCUAGAUCCUAAAACAACUUUAACAAUAUAUAGAUACUAAAUCGUAACCACGAUAAAGAAACUAAAAUGUUAUUUUUAAACGUUCAAGAACCAAAUUGUUUUUUUAGUAAAUAUACAAUGGACAAAUGUUUAUUACAAUCUAAAUCGUCACUAUCAAGACUAGAUUUGAUAAUUUUUUAAAAAUACUUUUUUGUGUUUGAAAGUUUUACUUAUUUUCUUGAAAUUUGAUUGUUGCAGUCUUUUAUAUAUUCUAAGUUAACAUUUACAUUUUUAGCUAAAUUUAAAUAAUAGUAGUAUACUAUUUAAAUGAUGCGUUUGUAGUCCAAGGGUUAGGAUAAUUGCCUUCCAAGCAAUAGACUCGGAUUUGAGAGAUAAACUAGCUAGUGUCAAUUUAAAAAUUCAAACAGUUAGCAUUAAUUGGAUAGGAAAGGACAAAAGCUAUUUCCAGUCAUAUCCUCGAGUCUCUCUCUUCCUCGAGAAACUUAGCAUAACCUAAGGUAAGUGAUUUGUCUACUGGAUAGUAAGGAUCACUACUUACGUUAUGUUUUGUGUUCCCUCAAGUUCAUUGUGAUCCUUAAUGUCAUUACUUAUGUAAUGUUAUCAUUCAUACAUUAUGCCUAUGUUAAUACCUAAAUAAGAAACAUGUAUUCAUAACAAUGGUUGUGAGAAAGCAAACAAGAAUAAAAUUUUACUUGAAAUGCAUGUGAAAAUUCACACCAACAGUGCUUCUCGACAUAAUUUUUUCUUCUCAUUCUUCUUGUUAGACAUGCACAUCCCCAAAUAUUUAGAUAUUUUUCUAUUUAAAUUGACUCGAAUUAUUUGAAUUUAAACUUGGAAUUUUAAAAAUUUAAAUGGUUAUUUGGAUUAGAUAAUUAGAUUUAAAUUAAAGGACACUAAAGUUAAGGAUUAAAUGAGAAAUUGAGUUUAUGUAGAGAGUUUUUGAAUUUUUAAGAAAGGGAAAGGAAAUAGGAAAAUCACAAUUCCAAAUUCUCCCCCUCCCUAUUUGCCUUAAAACAUGAGCUGCUUUAUUGACAAUUUUCUCAUUAAGCCCACUGUAGAAUCGAUCCAUGAUAGUUUCCUCAUCCUCUUUCUCAUAUAUGUUAACCUCCUCAAGUAGUAACAACUCUUGAUAGCAAGUGUUCACACUUUUGCUCCCUUGUUUCAAAGCUUGCAGUUUGUGGAAACCUUUAGGAACCAAACACUUACUCAUUAGCACCUUCAUUUCUUUCCAUGAGAGUGUUGCAUGAUUUCCAGUUCUUCUUCUGUGCGAUAAUAAAUACCUCCACCAUAUUACAACGUAGAAACAAUAAGUUUUACCUUUCUCUUUUUAUUGUAGUGAUGAUAUUUAAAUAUCACAUCAGUUUACUUCUCAUACAAAAGAUAUGAGGAAUAAAUUGAUGUAACAUGAUUUGAUCUUGAUGUAACAUGAUUUGAUCAACAUGGUAACUGUUUUCUCAAACCUCUUCUUCCUCUUAGAUAUGUCACUCCCCUCUCCUAUGCCGAUUUAUUAUAGUGUCAGAGUUAGAUUCACUUUGCUCUGAGUUUUCUUCCUCAUCAGAAUUCUCCACAACCUGUCUCCUUACUUUGAGUAUUUUUCUAGCUUGAAACCUUUGUUCUAGUUUAUCUAACCUUACGUUCAUUAAGGUCUCCAAGUGUUGCAUGACUUUCUAAUUGAGUUCUUGUUACUGUCCAUGUGGAGUACCUCUAUAGCUACAAAACAAAAACAAGUGAAAGAAAAUGUGGACCUCACAAAUCACUCCUUCACACAUGUUUCUAUCAAUAGGUAAUGUCCACUUGUGUUCACACUCAACAUGGUACAAUAUCAAUACCAAACAGAUUGAAGAAAGAAAAAGAAAUACCUGACUGAGGAUCUGCCCGUCUGUAGAAAACAGAACUCGUGGACAGAUUUAGCUCAUAGCCUGGAAGGGCAUGCACAUGGAUAGAGAACAGUUUGUCAUGGUCAGCAAAGAACCUCUUCCAUAAUGGCAGCAUGGGCAGAGGGCCUCUAGUCAAGAACAUGAAGCCACUUUUGGCACUCUUUUGAAGGGAUAAUAAUUCUCUCUCUUUGACACCAUUGAAGCUCUCAGAAAAGCUCAUCAUCAGACAUAGCAUGAGUCAGAUUAUCUGGAUGGAUAAACAUAUGAAAGCUAGAAUAAUCCCUUCUCUCACAUAUGUUUGAAUCAGUAAAAUUCUCUUCCACACGAGUAGUGGGAACCGAAAAUUGAUUGAUAAAAGAGUAAAGUUCAGUCUGUUAGGUAAAGUAUCUGCUAAUGUGAGCUAAAGUAUCGGCUAAUGUGAGAAAUUAAGGAAACCAAAAUGCUUCUCUCCUUCCUCCUUGUCCAUCCUACACCGAGGUAUUGCUGUUGAGGCUCCCAAAACAAGAAAUAAUAAUAAAAAGCAGAAACAGAUUCUUCAGUUUCCCAGUUUUGAUUCUCCCAAAUCCUAUUCAGCUAUAUAACAAACACAUAAAGAGCAUACUCAAGUUGAACAAAAAUGGAAGAAUAGUAAUGUAAAACCGUUAUGAUCAAAGAACUAGCUAGAAGACGAUUAUGCCAAUGUCUCCAAAAACAACUAAUCACGAGAAGUAUAAUCUUCUGAUUUUGGCUCGUGGUCGACUUCUCAGGUAAUAGUUUAAGUCUCUUUUCCUUACCCAAACCCAACCACCCAUCUUCAUCUUCAAGAUUAAAGGAAUGUUUUGUUUGUGUUUAAUAGGGAAGAAGAAUAAGGAUGAAGGAACAAACAGAGGAAAAAAUGGGUGGCGGUGUUUGUGAAUUGGGUAUGCAAAAAUGAUAGAGAAAAAGUUAAGUACAAGUUUAAUUAUUAUAAUAAAAACAUCCAAUGAAUGAAAAAGAGGGACAUUUUAAACCCGUUCUUCAACAAAAUAUAGUAUUAAUCACCAUGCAUACGUAUAGUUAUUAUCCAGAAAAUUGGGUGGCAUCACAGAAUCAAACAAUUCUAAUAAAGUUGCAAAUAGAGGGAUUUCUGUGCAGGGAGAAAUUUCCUCCUUAUUAACGUCCUGCUUGCAAAAGAAGCCUACUGCUCAUUGAAAUAUAAGACACUUGAAGAAUGUGAGGAGUUGCGGCAGAGAAUGAGAAAUGGCCUGCUCAGAAAUCCCACGGUGGUAAGGCUGUAUAAGUUUCGAAGCAUAUGCUUAAACUGGUAGAGAAUUAUUUAAGUGUAAUUUUCUUGCAUGGCCUUCUUGUUCACGAGAGUAGAUUCUCGGUUGAGCAAGUCAAUGUUUUUCAUCGACAUUAUAAUAAUAGCUUCAUGAAGAUUUUUUCCAUGAGGCUGAUGGUGAGAAACAAUUUUUAUGAAUGACCAAAUACCAAAUAGCAAUCAUCACAAUGAUCUAUUCUAUCUCGAUACACUUCAAAAGAUAUGUUAUUUUAAAAACAAAAUGAAGGCAAGCCAAUUUGAUCCUUAACCUUUGCUUUGUAUAAUUUGAAACAGGAUUGAACUUUUGAAACCAAAAAUCAAAUAAAAAGUUAGAUUAUAAAAAACAUUUAGUCAUUGGCCUUGAGGUUUGUGUAAAAGAGUCCAAAUGGGUUCUUCAACUUUUAAUUAUCCAUAAUAAGUCACAAAAUUAAAAGUAAUGUGUAAUACACCUAUAAUUUUUGUGUUUUACAAGUUUUAAUUACACAAACUGGGGAGUGAAAAAGUGUAGAAACUCUUAUUCUUUUUCUAAGUAUCAUAUGGAGCUUAAGGCGUGCGACCACCCAACAAGAUAGAUUAUAUUCCUUGAUUUCAAUAUGGUUGAGCCUAAUAUCCAAUCGUCUUCCUCUAUUGACCUUAGCUUGUAAGAGCAAAUUCAAUUUCUACUUGGACUUUUUAAUUUUAUUAUACAAACUAAAUAUUUUUUAAAAUUAAAUUUUAUUAUAAAUUUUUGUAUUUCUUCCUACGAUAAUCACAGCAACAAUUUAAUAAAACAAAAGGUAAGAUUUAUUUGUUAAAUUUUGUAAUUUUUUUUUUUUAACAUUCACUAAAAAUUUCUCGAAAUAAGAAAAAAAAAAGAGGGAAGGUUUGCAUAAUAAACCAAUAUAUCUUCUUCACCACGUAUGAAUUGCUCCAAAACCCCUGUUUCUCUCUUUUCUAGGGUUUAAUUUAACUACUAUUUCUCCUCCUUACUCCGGCGCCGUCGUCUAAUCAUGUCACCUUACCGCUUCCUCCUACGCUCUCUCCGCCGCUCUUCAACCUCUCCUUCACAUGCCCCUGCUCUUACCACCAUUGCUCCUCUCAACCAACAUAUUCCACCCUCCUCUCAAACUUCUUCUCCCAUCUCACUUCUCCUUGCCCGCUCAUUUUCCUUUUCCUCUGCCGAAGAAGCUGCUGCCGAAAGACGCCGUAGAAAGCGCCGUCUUCGUAUUGAACCGCCUCUCCAUGCACUUCGUCGCGACAACUACCCUCCCCCUCAGCGUGAUCCCAAUGCCCCUCGUCUUCCUGACUCCACAUCCGCUCUUGUGGGGCCUCGUCUUAAUCUUCACAAUCGUGUUCAAUCCCUGAUUCGUGCUGGUGAUCUUGAUGCGGCUUCUUCAGUCGCUCGUCAUUCUGUGUUUUCCAAUACUCGCCCCACGGUUUUCACUUGUAACGCUAUUAUUGCUGCUAUGUAUCGGGCUAAGAGGUAUAGUGAUGCGAUUGCAUUGUUUCAGUUCUUCUUUAACCAGUCGAAUAUAGUUCCCAAUGUGGUGUCGUAUAAUAAUUUGAUUAAUGCUCAUUGCGAUGAGGGCCGUGUUGAUGUGGGUCUUGAGGUUUAUCGUCAUAUUAUUGCAAAUGCUCCGUUCAGUCCUUCCGCAGUGACUUAUCGGCAUUUGACUAAGGGAUUGAUUGAUGCUGGGAGGAUUGAGGAGGCUGUGGAUCUUCUGCGGGAAAUGCUGAAUAAAGGGCAUGGCGCUGAUUCGUUGGUUUUCAAUAAUUUGAUUUCUGGGUUUCUGAAUUUGGGGAAUUUGGAGAAGGCGAAUGAACUGUUUGAUGAGUUGAAGGAGAGGUGUUUGGUUUAUGAUGGAGUUGUGAAUGCUACGUUCAUGGAUUGGUUUUUCAAUCAAGGGAAAGAAAAGGAGGCCAUGGAAUCGUACAAGUCGUUACUUGAUAGGCAAUUCAAGAUGGUUCCAGCGACUUGCAAUGUGUUGUUAGAGGUUUUGCUUAAGCAUGAAAAGAAAACGGAGGCUUGGACAUUGUUUGAUCAGAUGUUGGAUAACCACACUCCACCAAAUUUCCAAGCAGUUAAUUCAGAUACGUUCAACAUAAUGGUUAAUGAAUGCUUUAAGCAUGGCAAGUUCGCAGAGGCAGUGGAGACUUUCAGGAAGGUGGGAACUCAACCAAAGUCAAGGCCUUUUGCUAUGGACGUUGCAGGGUAUAAUAAUAUCAUUGCAAGGUUUUGUGAACAGGGAAUGAUGGCAGAUGCAGAGACUUUCUUUGCUGAACUUUGCUCGAAAUCCUUGUCCCCUGAUGUCCCAACUCACAGGACACUUAUAGAAUCUUAUUUAAAGAUUGAGCAGAUUGAUGAUGCAUUGAGAGUUUUUAACAGAAUGGUUGAUGUUGGUUUGAGAGUUGUUGCUAGCUUUGGAAAUAUGGUAUUUGGUGAAUUGAUUAAGAAUGGCAAGGCAGCUGACUGUGCUCAGAUUUUAACAAAAAUGGGAGAGCGGGAUCCUAAACCGGAUCCCACAUGCUACGACGUUGUGAUUAGAGGGCUAUGCAAUGAAGGUGCGUUGGAUGCUAGUCGGGAGUUGCUUGACCAGAUAAUGAGGUAUGGUAUUGGCCUCACUCCCACACUUGAGGAAUUUGUUAAAGAGGCAUUUGUAAAGGCUGGUCGGCAUGAAGAGAUUGAAAGAUUGCUAAAUAUGAAUAAAUGGGGACAUGCUGCUUAUCGCCCCCUAUCUGGACCCCCAAGAAUUUCACAAUCUCAGGUACCACCUCAAAUGGGAGGACCACUGCAAGGACCCCCUCAAAUGGCAGAGCCAAAUUGGCGGCCUUCUAUAAACCCUCAAGCUAGAGGAACUUAUUCCUCACCUCAAAUGUCAAGUCCUAGUCAUUUUCAAUCAGGUUCGCCUCAAACGACAGGUUCUAAUUAUUUUCAAUCAGGAUCGGUUCAAAUGACAAAAUCCCAGCAUUCAUCAUUCAAUCCACCCCCAAUGGAAGAACAUCACUCGCAACAACCCCCUCAAAUGACAGAAGCAAAUUGGCGGCCUUCUAUAAACCCUCAAGCUAGAGGAAGUUAUUCCUCACCUCAGAUGUCAAAUCCUAGUCAUUUUCAAUCAGGUUCUCCUCAAACGACAGGUUCUAAUUAUUUUCAAUCAGGAUCGGCUCAAAUGACAAAACCACAACAUUCAUCAUUUGAUCCACCCCCAAUGGAAGAACAUCACUCACGACAACCCUCUCAAAUGGCAGAACCAAGUUGGCGGCCUUCUAUAAACCCUCAAGCUCGAGGAAGUUAUUCAUCACCUCAGAUGUCAAGUCCUAGUCAUUUUCAAUCAGGACCGCCUCAAACGACAUGUUCUAAUUAUUUUCAAUCAGGAUCGGCUCAAAUGACAAAACCACAACAUUCAUCAUUUGAUCCACGCCCAAUGGAAGAACAUCACUCACAACAAACCCCUCAAAUGGGAGAACCAAACUGGCGACCUUACACAAACCCUCAAGCCAGAGGAAGUUAUGGCCCUUCAUCACCUCAGAUGUCAGGUCCUAGUUAUUUUCAAUCAAGAUCAUCUCAAAUGACAGGUCAUAAUUAUUUUCAAUCGGAAUCGACUCAAAUGACAAGACCACAACAGCCAUCAUCUGAUGCGGUCUCAAUAGAAGAACAGUAUCACUCAGAACAACCCCCUCAAAUGGCUGGCCAAAGCGCAAUUUGAUCAUCAGUUUUAUAAGUUAUUUGAAGACGCUGUUGUCAAAAUUUUGACUUAGUUAACAUGCAAUUUGUGAUCAAUUAUCCACUUUAUACUGCAUGUUCCUUCUGUCAGGUCACCUCAAGUCUCUUCCAUUCAAGUUUUUGUGUUAGUAAAGGAUUUGGUUAUAUUCAUGGUGUCUGUUUUAGAUAUUAUGUAUUUACCUGAUAUAUGAAUGUGGUUUCUCUAUUACACUAUUUAAACUCACAAAUUUAUCAAUAAUAUUUUUAUCUACAAUAAUUUGAAAUUCCAUUUCACAUUUGUAAGAAUGGAAUAUAAUCUGAAUGCAGGGGCACAAUUUCUAUCUGUAUCAUAAUUAUUAUAUUGGGAGAGUUCAGGGACUAAGAGCACACUCUACUUCUGUUGUUUCUGCUUCAAAUUGCAUUGACUAAUUUGUCACUUUACGUCCCACGUAUGUGAUUAUUGCACUGAUGAACUUAUAUUUUCUGGAGUGAGUAAGAGAUACAUCCAAGUUGGUUUAUAUUCUAUUCACAAAAAAAAAAAAAAAAAAAAAAAAAAAAAAAAAAAAAAAAAAAAAAAAAAAAAAGAGGCAAUGGCUUAUUUUGGAAUUUUGAAGGAAUAUACAAUUUAAGUAGACUUUCUAAUUGGUGCCAUUUUAAUUUAAUGUGAUCCCUUACACUAGCCGUUACUAUCACGAUACUUCAAUUUAUCCUUUCCUUGUUGGACUUGACCACUCAUUGUAUACAUUGUGUCAUUUACUACAUAGAUACUUGAACCAAGAUAAAAAAGAAAGAAAUAUGGUGAACGAUUGGGUUGAGAGAAUAAUCGUUGCAACCUCUAGUAGGAUAGAACAAGUAAUAUCUAACAUUGUGUAUCCAUGGGUUGGAAUUACCUAGGAUAUUGUAUACUAACAAAAAUAUCAUUGUCUAUUGAGUAUACCUUGUGUCUGCAGUUCAAAU